UGGCCUCUGGUGAGCUUGCCUACGCUAGAGAGAGCAAAAGGAUUACCAUCACCACCACCUCCUCCUUUUUGGCACUCCUUGUCUUCACUCACUGAAGUAGAAGAGACCCUGGAGAUGAGAUCGGCUUCGCUGGGGCUCGGGAGACCUAUGCGGAGUGCCACACUCACAGCUUCCUCCACAUUCUCUCCGCCAUUUGACCGCUUGCUCUUGUAAUCGCCUUCCUCAAAGGCACUGCAGGAAGUCUGCUGCUGCUGCUGCUGCUGCUGCAGAUGGUUGUGGUGGUGGUGCUUCUUAGGACUGAGGCUGAGAAGAGGAAGGGCUUCUCUGAGAGGAGUGAGUGGUGAUGAUUGGAACUGAGUGGUAUAGCUGGUGAAGGCAAACGAGUUUCCUUUGAAGGCGUCUGCCAUUGAUGGAGCCUGGACCUGUGAAGGAAUUACAUGCAUUUAUACAUACACACACAGAGAAACAAUUGAAAGCCUGAUAGGUAUGGAUAAGAGAGAACGAGGCCUGAGUGACAGAGAUGAAAUGAACAGAUCAUCACAGCAAAGAGGAAAAUGAACUUGCGUGGCAAUGGAUCCAUGCAUGUGCAUGCAUCCUUCCAAUGCCAACAAAUUAUUAUAGCACGAGCAGUAGUAGUAGUGACAUGUCAAAGGCAAAUGUGGACAAGGAACAGGUCCCUCACCAUGAAUUAGAGAGGUCCAUGAACAGUGGCGGCCUGCCAAACAUGCCCUAGAUUCUAGUGCUUUUUUAGACGGCCACUAAUAAAUGCAAAUACUUCCAAUGUUUUCUAGGGCUACAGGAUCCAGAGAAGCAUUUUAAACUUGUAGGGCACCAUGCACAACCGACAAUUGGUGUUCGAGGUAUAAACAAGCAGCAACGACAUUAAAUUAGUCCAGAAGUGAAGAAGGGAUGGGGAGCUUGUCAUAUAGUAGUUUCACUGCAAUAAAAGCUGAGAGAGAGUCAUGUGAUGCUUGAGGGGGAUCAAAGCUAUGAUAAGGUACCCUACAUCUUAGUAGUAAAUGAAGGAGAUAAAGCAAAUGCAUGGGGUGGUUGGAGUCAUAAGAACACAUACUAGGGAACACAGAGCUGCCACCUUUGACCUACGAUGGGUAGGUAAACCAAUGUCGGUGGAAUAGUGGUGUUGAAGCAAGGUGGUAUGCCGUCUCCUUCAAUUCCAUUGAAGUGUGGAUGGCCAUUUGAAUGACUGCAGUUGCUGUACUAGCUAAUCCAGCUUUAAUCUGCUCAGAAGCAAGGUCCUUAUUAUUGAUCAUCCCCUUUGUUGAGUAGCUGAGAGUGGAACGAGCUGACUUCCUGCAUAAUAUAAUUUAAAUGAAGUCUCAAUUAGUCUUGGAAAAGCAAGAUAAAGAAACAGCUAAAACAUCAUAUUGCUGCCUGCUUGCUUGUUUAUUCUGGUACUUGGUGAAGAAUAAAACCUUCUUGUAGUGCUUAAAAACCUGACGUCUACAUUGAUCACUACAGAGCUUCAGCCAAAACUGGAAGUUGGACAUUUGGAUUAGAGGGGAAAAAGAUAAAAAUCCCACAGGAAAUCUGCCCACAAUUAAAGGCAUGAAUGAUAUUAACAUUCAUAUUCUUUUAACUCGAAGCAUUUUUUUUGAACUCAAAGCAUUCUGUACACGUUUGAACACAACCCACAGGCCAAGUCUAGGCAACAAGUUCCUGAGGUCCACCAUAUGUAAUUCUUUGUUCUUUGUUUUGAAACAAAAAGGUGGAAAUUAUUGACAUGGAGCACAAUAUGUUAUCCCUGCAAGAACUGCAGCAACAAAAGGAUGAAUAAACAGCAACAGGGUGUCGGAAGUGAUAAGUAAAUUGUUCUCAUACUUACAUUCAUAUGUAGACCCUUCUUGUUCCAUAUUGCUAAUUGAAUGCACCGAAGACCUAGAAAGUAAGAGGCUUUGAUUAUGCAACCAGCCGGUUGCUUCAUGAUAGCCACCAACCAACGUCAUGUCUUAGAUCCAACAGGUUCCAUGUUGCAGAGUGGUCCCUUGGUUUCAAUAAUAGAGGAGGUGUAAGAAGAGAGCUAGUUUACAGAGUUACCACAAAUUAUAAGAAUCACUUACUGGAAUAACAACGUAAAUACAUGAGAAACAAAUUAUAAGAGUCACUUACUGGAAUGACAAUGUAAAGACAUGAGGAAUGAAAAAGGAAUACAUCUGAAGACUGAAUUCACACAUCCAAUGAAUCACACGUGGGCUAUCACCAAACUGAGAACCUUGAGAAAUUGUGCGAUGAUGGACUGACAAACACUAUUCAUUUGACUGUCAACUUUAGCUGUAUUAAGCAAGACGCCAGUUUAUGAUAAAUUCCUCCAGAAAAUCAAAUACACCCUAUUCCGAUUGGCACAUAUUUUCUCUUGUUAAUCAAUAAUAUGCCAUUCUCAUUAAAUCAGGGACAGCAAGCAAGGGAACACAACUAAGAAAAUGAAUCAUCAAAUAAGCCCUCCUUGCAUUUUAAUGGUGCCUCAUAAGAGCAUGUGUAAUUGGAUGAGCUUUCACUAUCAGAUUAAAUGAACCACCUGUUUGAGAGACCAUGAAGCUGAAGAGUCAUUAUUGGAGAUCGCAGCAUUCUUCUUCAUUUGCGUAACCAUCACGAUCAUCAGAAACCAAAGGAGAAGCACCAAGGGGUCUAACAAACUGCCUAGCACACGGCUAAGAGCAUUGGGUUGCAAGCAAGGUUGUUAUACCUCUGAGCUGCAAUAGGUAGAGGCCUAGCUGAAGUGUAAGCAGAAAGUGAUCUGUGAUAAAUAUGCCAUCUAUACCAGAUAUGCUGAUGCCUUGAAAGUCAUUGCACCGACAACCCAACCUAAAAGCUACUGAGGUUGGGCAAGUAAGCAUAUGUGCAUAAAAUAACAAUAACAGAAAAAGGAUGAUUACAACCACGAGGCAUAUGUCAUAACAUACACUGGUAAAAAUUCAUGGCUAAUGUAAAUCACAAGAAAAAGAAUAUGUAAAUAAAUAUAUAUACAUAUACAUAUCAAAAACGAAGAAGAGAUGGCUGAAAUCCAUUAGAAAAAUUAUUCCAAAAGUGUUCCACCAUUAUCUAAAGCAUUACCUACUGUUUCCUUGAGUAAUUAUGACCAUCAGAUGGAAAACGAAAAAAUAGUCCCUUGUUACGAAAUAGAUUGGCCCGUAACUGGAUGAUGCUAUACAUAGUUGCACAUGGAAGAACUUGUUUAAUCUCUAUAAAACAAUUGGACAAUUUUACUGCCAAGAAUCUCAUUCACUACCCUUUUCUGCCCUGAGUUGAAAGUUUUUGUUCUUCAAAUAACACAUAGAACAAGACAAAAGGAACUUGAAACUUAAAAAUGAAGGCCCCAUAUGUACAAACAUUAUACAAAUUUAGGAUGAUGUAUCAUUCCUUCCAACAAGAAUGGUAACCAGUCAAUGUGUUGAUUAACAGGGAAGCAACUGAAGGAAAAAUUCAGGGUACUAAAUAUACCAGUACUUGUUAAAGGACACAGUUGGAUUAGACCAUCACCUUUUCAGGCCCGACACCUAACAGGGUGACAGCAAGCAUAUCUUACUUUAUGUACCAAGUAUACCAGUACAUCUUAACAGCUACAGUUGGAUAGAUCACAACUUUUCAGGCCUAACAUCCAACAGAGAGAUGGCAAACACAACCAAGUCUAUAUCGAAUAUGACCAAAGUUUGUUUGGAAUUUUUUUUUAGAGCAGUAGAAACUUAUAUGCUUCUCUCCAGUUAUCAAACAAAAAUGCAAUUAUGAGCUUUAAUAUAUGGCCCUAUAUACGCAAAAUUCUUAGAGUUAGCAGCCUCAUUCUCCGAUGAUGUUAGGUGGAGAUGAUUAAAAAUUAUCCGCAUAACAUCAGCUGAAUACAGAAAAAGAAAAUAGAAAGGAAAAGAUAAAUUUUAUUGUGACUUGAUCAAUUUACAACAAGUUGACAAACCUAAGUUACUGAAUUAACAACCACAAUGUGGCAGAUCUAAUGGCUGAGUGCAGAUCACAAGUUGGUCAUGAUAACUAACUUCAAAGUCGAAACUAUUAGCAUUUUGUGCAUGUCCCAAGCAGAGAGACUCUUAUUGAAUGAAUUUAGGAAACUGUCAUGACUAACCCACUUGAAUCAGUAAUAAUCGGAUUAAGCACAUCAAUGUAUCAUUUUCAAAUGAGUGUCGAUCAUAUCAUGCUUAUUGGUUAUAAAUAGGUCAAAUUCUACUACUGGAUUGAUUAAAUUGUCAGUGAAGGGUUUUCAUUUAAAUUGGUUUAAAUCUAUCAUCUAUAAUAUAAUUUGAUCUAAGCCCAAAGGUUAGGUUAGGUUAGGUUACACAUGUAUUAGGUGGAUUAGGUUCAAGUUUAGCAGUUUGGGUGGAAGUUUUGGUCUAAUAAAUGCAUCUUAACCUGACAUAAACACUACCCAACAGUCUAACACGAUCCAAUGACAUCAAAUAUUGCUGAUGUUGGGAAUUUUUUUAUUUAACAACAUGAUCUUAUAAGCUAACUCGAAGCAAGAACACAAACCAUUGGCUAAAUUCAACAUCAAAAUUGCUAGUGAUCUUUUAACUAAAUAACCUAGACAAGCCUUGGUGUACUUUAUAAGGUCGAUAAAGGAAUCACUCCUGUCCUUCUACUAAAGAAGUAUGAUUAAACGUCACAAAGGGCUUAAGAUUUGUUUGGCAAACAGACACAGUAGAGCCAGAGCCAGAAUCACUUCCAUAGUCCACAAACAGUAAAUAUUUUUAAUGAUUCAUACUAGAAUUAACAUAAUAAAAAUAAAUAUACGACAAAGUUACAACAGGAAAAGAAAAAGAUAUCUAUGAAUAUAAUACACGAAUAUUUUCGUAAUUCCAUCUAACUUAUAGGUCUCAACAGAAUGAAUUCCAUCAUGGUUGUCUGGCAUUAUCUAAUUUCAAUCGAGAUAGCAUGAAAAUUCAGAAAAAUAACAUUAAAUUUUUUCAAGAUAGUAGUUGCUUUCAAAGGAAAUCCAUGUUCUGCUUAACUAUGUGUUCGCCCACAUCAUCAAGCCCAGGCUUGGACGAAUGUGACGGCAAUGACGAUCGACCGGGGACAAGGGAAACUAACCGACGGAGCCGUUCACAGGCUCCGCAGAGAUGGACGGAGAAGAAGGGAGGGAGCGGAUCCAUAUGACGUCACCGUUCCUUGAGACCGUCGCCACCGUUACGGUGUUGGGGAGCUCCGAGUCGAUUCCCUGACAAGGGUGGGUCGGCCGAAGAUGGAGAACCUAAAUAAACCGACGAUUCGAUUCCGGUCGAGGCCUUAAUUUGGACGGACCGGUCCGAACCCAAGAUCUAUGAGAUGGUUGAGCUCAUCUUAGACGACACUGAUGGGCCAUGAGCCCAAUAUAAGGAUAGUUAGCAAUCUGCUUUCAUUACCAUCCCACUACUGUUUUAAUCGAUGUUUGAUUGAGUAGAGGAGCCUAACCCAUGUAGCUGCUUUGAGAUUUGUGCUUAUAAAAGUCUUAUAUCGCUCUUUAAUAUCAUUAUAAUAAAUAAUAUAAUAUCUAAGAUAUAUAUAUAUAUAUAUAUAUAUAUAUAUAUAUCUAUAGUUAAGAUUAACUAUAAAUCUACUUCUUUAAAUCAUUUUAUGAAACCUAAACAAUAAGAUCACCAAAUAUAAAACAGAAUCAAAUACAAAUAAAGAAAAUAAAGCACAAAAUCUUUCAAAUGUAACUCUAUUGUCACAGUAUAUAUAGUAUUAAAAUUAGCAUAUGAUAAAAUUAUUUUUAUAAAAUAGUAAAUAGCAUAAAAAAGAAAGCAGUCGCGUGCGUGGCAUUCCUCCAUCAUGGUUCAAUCACGCGGCGAUCACAUCAUUCGCGAAUCGCGACGCUCUCUCUUUCUCUCUAAACGCGCUCCAUCUCUCUCUUGUCCCUCAGCCAAUUCUGUUCUCUGGUUUCUUUGGCGCCCGAAGGAAGACUGAUAUAGAGAGAGAGAGGGAGAGAGAGAAGGAGAUAGAGUUCGGCAUAGAUUCAUUCGUGUGACCGACGAAGUCGUCAUCGUCGUCUUCUUCCCUCGGAUCGAUCUCGUCAUUUUCUUCUUCUUAUUAUUCCUGGUGGCGAUAAUCGCCGUGGUGAUUCGUUCGCCUGAGCGAGCGAUCGGUCGGUCGAGUAGGAUCGAGUCAGAGAGAUAGAGGAUGUCGUCGGGGAGUCGGAACUACUACGGGGAGUUCAACCAGAAGAUCGACUACGUGUUCAAGGUGGUGCUGAUCGGGGACUCGGCGGUGGGCAAGUCGCAGCUGCUCGCCCGCUUCUCCCGUAACGAGUUCAGCGUCGAUUCCAAGGCCACCAUCGGCGUCGAGUUCCAGACCCGCACCCUCACCAUUGACAGCAAGACCAUCAAGGCCCAGAUCUGGGAUACCGCCGGCCAAGAAAGGUGCCCUUUCCCCUUCUCUUCCCUUCUUUUCGUUAUAUGGGUCGUCCAACCCUGAUUUUAUCGAUCAAGAUGAUGCUAUUUGAUCAUCGUAUGACAGCAACUAUGUUUUCUUGAUCGAUAUUAUUGAUCAACCAAUCAAUUCAUCAAUAAUUGUUCGGUCCUUUGGUUGGGCAUCUUUUACGCAUUGAUUUACGUCGGAUGCGAACUGCUGAUCGAUGAUGUUUGGAUCUUUCUUGGCUAUGCUGUGCCUUCGCAUUGUUCGUCUAGUGUAAUGUAUCAAGCAUUUAAUGCAAUUCUCUUCUUUUUUUCGUCACCCUGGUUUGGGUACUUGGCCCAUUGUUGGUUAUCGAAACUAGAAGACGUUCCAGCCUCUCAUAGUUACAUGUUGUAGGUUUUUUAUGAGAUCUGACGAGAAUAAUGCAGUGUAAAGAGGAACAAAGGAAUAAACUAGAGAUCUAGAUUUUUGAGACCGAAGAAAGUCAACCCUAAAUGAGCCAUAACAGGGCAUAUGAGGAUCCACAAUGAAAUCUAUAAAUCCAGAUGCAUACCGCUUAUUUUCUUGUUAGGUUUAAUAACAUGGAAAUAGAAUUAGUUUGAUUGUUUGGAGUUAUAGUAUGCGUUAAUUGAACCCCUUACUAAAGCUGUUGUAUUUGGUAGAACCUUUUGCUCUUGCUGCUAAGUCGUAAAUUCAAUUGAAAUUAAAACCAUGGUGGUUCUGAAAGCUUAGAACUCUAUGACAUGAGGCAGAAUUGUCUGAUUGGAUUUGUUUCACUUAGUUUCUAGUUACAUAACCUAUAAUGUUUAUGAUACUGGAUCUCCAAUUUUUGCAAUUUGGAUCAUUUUCCAUGGUAAUUCAGGGCAAAGAGUGGUGCUAAUUGGAUGCAAGACGUAGUUGACAGCUCCAGGAUUAAGAAGAAUAAGUAUUUUGUGAACUUUUAGCAUAAUAAGCUUGACAUUGUGUGUUAAUUGUUGUGUUCAUCCGUGCCAUUUCCUACACCUGCAAGUUUUGACAUUCCUAUGUGCAUAUCAUGUCAUAUACAUGUGUUUAUUGUUGUGUUCACCCGUGCCAUUUCCUACAUCUGCAAGUUUUGACAUUUCAAUGUGCAUAUCAUGUCAUAUCCACGCUCCAUCCCAUGCUGGUGUUCAUGCUUUACGGACUCUAUGUCAACAUUCUAAUGAUCACACGCUUGUCUACUUAGUUAAUCUGAAAGUGAAGAAUGUUUUUUUUGCGGUGAAUCUUUGAUGAAAAAUGCUUCACUCAAAUACAUCAAUUCACAGGAUCAUCCGUGUGAAAAAGGCUCCUAAAUGGUGUUUUAGUAGAUGUUAAGACUUCUCUGGAUUAAGUUGUGGUGUAUACGAGUCUUGUCCUUGUCUUGAGAUAUCACCUCAAUUAUGGCUCAAAUGACACAAAGAUCUACUGGAAAUCAAGAUCCCAAGAUGGUUCCAUAAGAUUUGCAGAUGACCCUAAUUCUUUUUUUUUGGUCUUAAAUUGUUUCAUGCUUUUAUGAAAUGGUAAAGUUUAAACUUGUGUAUCAAAUAGUAGAAGGGAGACAAUGACAUGCUUUCCUGAUAUUAUAUGUCAAAAUCUGAGCAUUUGCUUCUGACCUUGUUUUUCUUAAUAUAUAACAUCAGUGGCAGUUAAGACCAUCUAUAAAAUGGUUGGAUAAUAGCAGGAUCAACCUGUCUUCUUAUCAAAUCGUCAAAACCAGAAUAUCACAUUCUUUACUGUUUUUGCAGGAGGUGUAGUGAAGUUUACGUUCUUCAUAUUGAUGAAAUGUGCUGGUUUUCUGUGCUUGAUCUUUAUGGGGCUUAUUUCUCUUCAAUUCUGCGAUUUUGCAAUAGCAUUAUAUAUAUAUAUAUAUAUAUAUAUAUAUAUAUAUAUAUAUAUAUAUAUAUAUAUAUAUAUAUAUCCAUGCUAGAUUUUGAUACUUUGUAUAACAAAUUUAUACUGAUUUAAUGGAUGCUCAAACAAAAUAGAUUCUUGACAUUUGUCUUGAGUAUCAUGUUUGCCGAGAUCUAUAUUUAGGUAAGAGAUAUGAAACAAUUAAUAUUAGUGAUAAUCGGAGAGAUAAAAGAAGAAAGGACUAAAAGGAUUUUAUCAGAAAUUAUAAAUAAGGAUUUAAAUAUGAUUUUUAUGGAACUCAUUGACAGUAAAAAAAUCCAUGUAACUGUGACUUUGUUCUUAUUGCAUUUCCACUGACAAACUGGGUUGUCUUUGCUUAUCGUUAUACUCUCCUGGGUUCUAACGCUAGGAAUGUGGGGUGGUGAUCUGCAACAGGUACCGAGCGGUAACAAGUGCAUACUACAGAGGUGCAGUGGGCGCAAUGCUGGUGUACGACAUCACUAAACGCCAGUCGUUCGAUCAUGUGGCGAGGUGGCUGGAGGAACUGCGUGGCCAUGCCGACAGGAACAUCGUAAUAAUGCUCAUCGGAAACAAGUCCGACCUGGGAAGUCUUCGCGCAGUCCCCACCGAGGACGCCAAGGAGUUCGCCCAGCGUGAGAGUCUCUUCUUCAUGGAGACCUCCGCUCUUGAAUCCACCAACGUGGAGAGUGCUUUCCAGACCGUGCUCACUGAGAUCCAUCGGAUCGUCAGCAAGAAGUCCCUCGCUGCCAAUGAUGAGGCACAGUCUGCUGGCAACUCCAGCCUGCUCAAGGGAACCAGUAUAGUAGUCCCCGGGCAGGAUCCUCCAAGUGCCAACAAAGCCACAUGCUGUUCCUCCUCCUGAAUCGUCUACUUGCAUGUUUGUGCAUCUUUUGUUAUUUGCUUGUCGAUUGGAUUCUGGGUAGGUGCUUCAUGUUCUCCUCUCUACUACUGUCUUUAAAGUUCAUGUUCUUGCAAUGAUAAAAAGAUUUUGAUUUUGAUUUUUUUUUGCCUCUCUAGUUUUUUUUUUGUAGACACGGCAAAAGAUUUUAUAGAGUCUGAAGCUUUUCACAGUUCUUGCAAUGGAUUGACCUCUGUGGUUUGAGUAGCAAUAGAUUCUCCCUCAGUUUCACAGCUCUAUUCUGUCGUGCGGUGGUCAAUCUGAACUAUGACUCGAUUGAAACUUUUCUUGCAUGAAGUCCUUCUAUUUUGCUCUAAGAUCAUAUUGGAUCAUCUAGCAGCAGCAGCAGUAAUUGUAAAUUUGACAAACCAUAGGUAGCUUUGAACUCUAGCUAUUUUUAGUUCCUCUUGCUUGGUGUUCUUUAGAUUUUGACUUUGGUUAUCUUAACCGGCUUAAAAGUAGAUUAAACUAGAUAACUGAGCUAGAAUGAUCUGUUGACAGAGUCGGAUUAGAUUACCCUUCUUACUUCCCCUUGCAGAUAUUCCACACAAAUAAUUAUUUGAUGCACUGAAGUUGCUUUUUAUAUUUUCUUCGAUCAUUAUAUUCACCUAUCUAAAUCCUACUUUCCUUUUAUCAAAGAAAACGGCAACACGCCCAUUUAAUCUCAUAUUAGAAACUAAUAAAUAUUUGAAUUACUUUGUAAGAACAGAAUUUGAUGAAUGUAUUAUCAUCAACUUAAGAGAGCAUAUGCAUGUCAUAGCGUAGAGCUAUCGAUACAAUAGAUUUUUUUUAUUUUAGAUUAUAUUAAUUCUUGAUAAAUAUACCAAGUCCUCGGAUAGGGAGGAUUGUGACACUUUCAUUACAUCCCAAGUUGAUAAAAAAAAAUUAAAAUUAAUUUAUAAAACCUCCAUGAGUAUAAUAUUAUUAACUUAAACUUAAUCAUUUUAAACGAUUGGCUUAGAUCCAAUAAAUUAAUAGGCCAGUUAAAUUACCCAAUUUGGAUUUGAUAGAGACAAUUGAUAUUCUCAAGAACAUAUAUAAAAAAAAAAAACUUCCAAAUGAACAAGGCAUAUGGAUCAGAAAUUUGUUUACCAAAACUACCACCUAUGAUAUUUUAUGGCUUUCUUUACACGGUCAAAUUAGUCUGAUGGGCCACACAAAUUCUAAGCUCGAUGGCAAAAGCAAUUUCACUACCAUUACCUUCCUAGAUUUCAAAAUUUUAUAGCACAACAUCAAAUAUCAAAUUACCAGACAUCUUCCAAUUCAAGUGUAAGUUUGGGAUUCCAUGAAAAGGAUCAUUAGAUUAGAUCUGACUAAACAAUAAAACUCUUAUUAAAGGGUGGCUCAACGCACAAAACUCCCACGGCAUGAUUUAGAAAUGAUCAAAAUACAUCAUCUAAUCCCUGCUUCUCGGUUUCCACUAUGAGUAAAUUAUGUUCAAUUGUGCAAUCAAAUUAAGACUAUCAACAAUUGGGCAACCAACAACAGACAGCCGUAUCACCGACAACAGAUACUGGUAGACCAACAAAUUUAGAUAGCGAUAUAGUUGUUUUAAUCACACCCAUUUGCCUCUCCAAAAAUCACUGUUCUUGGCAUGCAUUCCUUCCUCAUCAACUAUGCCCUCAGUAUCUCAGAAAGUAUCAUGACUAAGAUCACAUCUGACAACGGAUGGAAACUGAGACCUUUUUCUAGAGUUUGUAGUGGUCCUCAGAAGAAUAUAUUCCUGCAGCAAGGAAUAAAGGCAACAAAGUCAGUGGAUUGGCCAAGUAUUACAUCAGAUCAUUCCCGCAGUCAUCAAGAGGGAACAAGAAGAAAAAAGCUUAGCAUGAGUGAUGCUACUUUAAGGAAUAAAGGUAACCAUAAACACAAUCAAGUACAACAUGAUAUGUCUGAUAACUCCUUUUGUCAUCAGGAGGGUAACAACAAAGGUAUCAGAAAAUUCUAAACCAUAACCAUAUGACCGUUCUAAUGAGAGUACGAAACCACAAACAAGAAGAAAAGAACCAGUAAAAUGCUUGACCAUGGAGGUUUCCCAAGCAAAAUCACAUAAGAAACACCUUCACUGUCUCAAACACACAAAACAAUAAUAAGGUAUGUUUCAAUUUUUAUUUGAAUAUCAUAAGAUCCAAGAUUUGACAUAAUGCAUGAGUAUGGUAAACCAUUCAUAAUUUGGAGAUGCUUUAGAUGGAAUAAUGAAAAUCAUUAUCUGAUGCCUACUGUUACGGGAUUGAAAGCUCCUUGAGUUUAAACUGACAGAAUGUUCACUAAAAGCGAGAAAGACAGGGAAUCACCAAAUGUCAUACUGCAAAAAGAAAAAGCAACAAAAAAAGGCUUGCAAGAGAAGCUCCAAUCAAUCACAUUGUGAUUUUAGAAUAAAACAGUACAUUGCGCUGAAAUUUUAAGUGACGCACACAAAGUCAUGGUAAGAAAUAGCUAGCUGCAUGAGCAAAGAAAGCCAGUGGGAAGCUGAAGCAAGUAAUAACUUGAUAAUGAAAAACUGAUUGAAACUACAAGAUUUACCAUCAAGGUUAUAAUGAACAAGCCUGAUACACAAUCAUGCAAUACCAAGGUCAACAUGAGAGAAAAGCUGCAAAAAUCUUUCUAUUUUUCUUUCAAUAUUUAUAUCUACUUACUCUUUUUAUUUCUGGUAGACUGUUUUGCUUUUGCAGUCCAGUGAAGGAUGUUGGUUAGAAGAACAUGGGUACCCCUUUAUACCCAUCUUAGGGCUGUCUCAGAGUUAGUCUAGAAAGUUUAUGACAGAUAGCAAGGCAUGUUCAAAUUGCCAUAACCAGCCUGGAAGUCUUCCAGCAACUCAUCUGAUUACGGGAAAAGGCAAGAUGAAUAGAAAGCCCACGAUUCAAUAACUCAUUCUUCUUCCUUCAAUAUAUUCCAAGAGUAACAUGAGAUCUAUCGAUGAACCCUACUAGAGCCACAGCCCCAGAAAAAACAACCCUUGCUUCUCUGUGAAAGAAGUGACUUGCCUAUAGGCAAAGCUUCCUUCCAGAAAGACAUCAGGAAAGGUAUCCAGGAUAGUUUCUAUUCCUUCCUUCAUAUCAGGCUACCCAGGAAUGCUAUCAGGAACAACUUUGCUUCAGAAUCAGGGUUACAAUUGCUUGCAAUGAGUUGCUUCCUUGCAGCCACUGAAGGCAAAGUUCAAUCAGAAUUUAGUGGCCUGAAAGUUGAAAACAUGAAGCCAACAUGUGGUAGUACUGGAUGCCAAAGAUACUUAUACUCGAAGACAGAGACAGAAAUCGACCCACUUCCAUCGAGAUCAACUUCAGCAACCCGAAACCACUACAUUUGAAUCUGAUGCUACCAAUUUGCCUCAGAAGCAUUUUAGCAAAACGAGAGAUUGUCCACUGAUUCCAACAUCUUCUAUAAGGUAAGACUCAUAUGAUUCCAAUGUAGUUGUACGUAGACAGAAUUCUCCAGAGAUCUUCACCAGAAACAUAGUUUUUUCUAUUUUCUACUUACAUUCCAGCUCUUUCCUCUGCCAAAAAAACAAGCACUAGGAAGCAGGAAAAGGGCAAAGAACUCAGCAGCAACGGCAACAACAACAAUGAGCCACCGCCAGCACAAUGAACUGAAGAACACCAAUCCAUUGCUUGGCGACCGAUGGCCAACCGGAGGGACCACCCGCAGUGGAGUCCCUGGUUGGCUCAGCGGCAGCACCGACAAGCUCACAAGCACUUACGAUUUGGUGGAGCAGAUGUACUACCUCUAUGUGCGAGUCGUCAAAGCCAAAGACCUUCUAAGCAACCCCAUCACCAUGAAUUGUGAUCCUUACAUUGAGGUGAAGCUGGGCAACUACAGAGGCACCACCAGGCACUUUGAUAAGAAGACCAACCCAGAGUGGAACCAGGUGUUUGCAUUCUCCAAGGAGCGCAUCCAAUCAUCACUACUGGAAAUCUUUGUAAAGGAUAAGGAGAUGGUUGGAAGAGAUGACUACCUGGGGAAGGUGGUGUUUGAUCUCAAUGAAGUGCCCACCAGAGUUCCCCCUGACAGUCCCUUAGCCCCCCAGUGGUAUCGGCUGGAGGAUCGCAGAGGGGAAGGGAAGGUUAGGGGGGAGGUCAUGCUCGCAGUUUGGGUUGGGACACAGGCAGAUGAAGCCUUCCCAGAGGCAUGGCACUCUGAUGCAGCUUCCGUCCAUGGGGAAGGAGUAGUCAACAUCCGCUCAAAGGUCUAUGUCUCCCCGAAACUCUGGUACCUCAGAGUUAAUGUCAUUGAAGCCCAAGAUGUUCAACCAAAUGUCAGGGGCCGGGCACCUGAGGUCUUUGUGAAGGCCCAAGUUGGUAACCAGGUGCUCAAAACGAAGAUAUGCCAAACGGCGACACUUAAUCCACUUUGGAAUGAAGAUCUCAUAUUUGUGGUGGCAGAGCCAUUUGAAGAACAACUAGCCCUCACCGUCGAAGACCGUGUGAGCCCAAGAAAGGACGAUGUGCUGGGAAGGGCAUCACUGCCAUUGACACUGUUUGAGAAGAGGUUGGAUCACCGUCCGGUGGUUCAUUCACGGUGGUUUGACCUGGAGAAGUUCGGAAUAGGAAUCUUGGAAGGUGAAACAAGAAGAGAGCUCAGAUUCUCCAGCAGGAUCCACCUCCGAGUUUGCCUCGAGGGAGCUUAUCAUGUGAUGGAUGAAUCAACAAUGUACAUUAGUGAUCAACAACCCACAGCUCGCCAGCUCUGGAAGCCACCGGUCGGCAUCUUGGAGGUUGGAAUCUUGGGUGCAAAUGAGCUGCUUCCAAUGAAGAUGAGGGAAGGCAGAGGAGCCACUGAUGCUUACUGUGUUGCAAAGUAUGGGCAGAAGUGGAUCCGGACAAGAACCAUGGUCGGCACAUUCGCUCCAACCUGGAAUGAGCAGUACACCUGGGAGGUGUUCGACCCAAGCACAGUGAUCACCAUUGGUGUCUUUGACAAUUGCCACCUUGGUAGCAGUGACCGGCACGGUGGAGGUGGACCUGCUCCAAGAGAUUCAAAGAUAGGGAAGGUCAGAAUCAGACUCUCAACACUUGAAACCGACAGACUGUAUAGACAUACAUACCCCCUGAUCGUCCUCCAAUCUUCAGGAGUGAAGAAAAUGGGAGAGCUUCAGCUGGCCAUACGCUUCACCUGCCUGUCACUUGCCAACAUGAUUUAUCUCUAUGGCCAUCCACUGCUUCCCAAGAUGCAUUACCUGCACCCGUUCACAGUGAACCAACUGGACAGCCUCAGGUACCAGGCAAUGAACAUUGUCGCUGCGAGGCUCGGAAGGGCAGAGCCACCACUGCGGAAAGAGGUGGUGGAGUAUAUGCUGGAUGUGGAGUCUCACAUGUGGAGCAUGAGGAGGAGCAAGGCCAACUUCUUCAGGAUCAUGUCGCUGCUCUCAGGUCUGAUCAGCAUGUUCAAGUGGUUCGGCGAUGUGCGCCACUGGAAGAACCCAAUCACAACCGUGCUAGUUCAUGUGCUACUCCUGAUACUGGUCUGGUACCCGGAGCUGAUUCUACCAACUAUAUUUCUGUACAUGUUCAUGAUCGGGCUUUGGAACUAUAGAUUCAGGCCAAGGCACCCACCUCAUAUGGACACCAAGCUAUCAUGGGCGGAGGCUGUGCAUCCGGAUGAGCUCGAUGAGGAAUUCGACACCUUCCCAACAUCGAAGCCCCACGACGUAGUCCACAUGAGGUAUGACCGGUUACGCAGUGUGGCUGGGAGGAUACAAACUGUGGCAGGAGACAUGGCAACACAAGGGGAGAGACUCCAGUCACUGUUGAGCUGGAGGGAUCCAAGAGCUACUUGCAUGUUUGUGGUGUUCUGUCUAUGCGCAGCUGUGGCACUGUACAUUGCGCCCUUCAGGUUGGUGGCUCUCGUUGCUGGCCUCUACAUGCUCCGCCAUCCCAGAUUCCGCAGCAAACUGCCCUCAGUGCCCAUCAACUUCUUCAGGAGAUUGCCAUCUCGGAUUGACAGUAUGCUCUAAGAGGGUAUGGUAUCUGGAGCUCACCAAUUUGUGAUUUGUGAUUUGAAUUUUCGUAACAUGUUGUGUUGCAUUACGUCCACUUGAUUUCAGUAAGACGAUGCCUUUUAUCUUCAAUCUCAUUUCCACGUUGUAAACCAGAAAUAAAAAAGGUUACCAACCUUCUCCUAAUUUGUCAACCGAUGAGCAUCAUGGUGUGUGGCCUUCGCCAAUACCCUUGCUCUGUUGAUUUUAACUUGUUCUGUUGAUUUCCAUGUAACCCUACUCUUUCGCUUCAAAUUGCCUAGAUAUACGUGACUGCAACCCGAUCAUCCCGAUCUGUCUCUCAAGAAGGCAUUUCGCCAUGACAACGAUUACCGUGUCUACCGAUUGUCGCCUACGAGGAUCCAGGAAAGAAGAGACCAAUUCGAGUAUCCAAGCGGAACACAAAGGGUGCGAAUCCAAGAACAGGAGAAAGGCGAAACUCGAAGGCCCUAGCCACAAAAAUCCACCACCAGACAUUCAAAUAACUUGAGCGAUAUAAUCGAUGUAGAAAGCUUGAAUAAAAAUGGCUCACCGGUGACGGGAAGCAGACCCGGAGGAGCCAUGGCGAGAAAGAUCGACGGAAGAGGCCGAGGAAGAAGAACCGUAAGAUUCGCCUUCUUUUUCCCGUCGAAGGGAUUCGGGAUGGUCAGCCGAUCGACAGAUCGGACAAAUGAAUCAUCGGCCGACAUAAUCUUAUUUCUCUGUAUAUAUAACGGGGCUAAUUAUGUAUAUGUAUCUGUAUAUAUAACAGGACAAAUAAUUGUAUUGUAAAUAUAAACUUAAUUAACAUUAUAUUGGAUUUUUCUAUAAUUAUAAAAUUAAGAUAAUUUAUCUCUUUUUUUUCCUAAUGCCUAUUUAUUGUACUGAUGAAAGACGAUCGAUUUCACCGAUAAAAUUUUUAUUUUUACAAAAAAAAUAGAUUAAUUCACCAUCUAAAUCAUCAUCGAUCGCCAAUAAUGGAUCGGAAUCCAGCAGCGAGGGUUGCGUUUUUGGUCGGAGGACACACCGUUUAGAGCACGAUAAGGGCACUCGAAGGUGUCGUCGUCGUUAAGCCACGACACACGGCGGUGCUUAAUCCAAAUGACGAGCUAGCUCAUCAUCCCAUCGACACCACGAAGCAAGCAAAUGUCGAAUUCAAGGACUUGCUUCACGCGAAGCACACUUGCACGAUGAAGACGUGAAGUAGGACUCGACAAGGCGCAAACACUUCCACAACUUGAAACAGAGACAACGAAGUUGGUCGUGGUGUGCGAUCUCCCCGGCCGCCUACCGGGCAGCGAGGAAGGGGUCGUGAGCCGCGGACGGCCUCGCCGCACCGGUCCCGCCGCUUGCCGCUCCCUCGACAGGGUAGAAUCCCGGAUCAGCGACCUGGCCGCCGGCGAGGGUCUGCUGGUGCUCGACCGCGUUGGACUGCAUCGUCUCCUGCUUGUUGACCUCGGCUUCCCGGAUCUUCUCUUGCUUGCGCUCCUCCGCCAUCUCCUUCUGCGCCGGCGUGCGUGCCGUCAUCUUUUCCACCUGCGGCAGACAGCGAAACGAUGGCGAUGCGGUACGGAUUCCUUUAGAAAAGUUAAAGAGAUGGGAGGGGGACGUGCGGCAACCUUCUCCUGGACGGUGGCCUUGGUCUUGUCCAUGCCGGACUUGGCCGAGGCAGCGACGUUUUCGGCGGUCUCCUUCACGGACGCCAUGGCAUUCUUCCCGGCUUGCAUUGUCGCGAUCAGAUCAGCUACUGCUACUCGAGGAGGAGCGGCGUAUAUAAAGGCGGGGAAGGGGUUACGUGCGGGGCACGGGAAGCAGAGGACGCCUGGCGACGCAGGGGGCUCUUGACGUGCCGGGUGCCCAAGGGAAGAAGCGUCAGAUUCAUCUUCUACCUCUUCAGCUGAGACAUGCCACCGUCGUGUCGGCUUUUCCCCAAGCGGAAGCGCAAUAAACUCUGAGAAAACCUGCACCUUCGGGUUGAUAUAAUUUUGCCUUUCUUACACAACACCUCGGUCCCAUGGUCUAGUGGUUAGGACAUUGGACUCUGAAUCCAGUAACCCGAGUUCAAAUCUCGGUGGGACCUUUUUAUUCUCUCUUUGCAUUUUAUGUUGUCUAGAUGAACCUUUAAUGUAGUGGGUUUUUUUUCUCCCUUGUAUUAUUAAAUCAAAUAAUUCUAUUAUUCAGUUCAAUAAAUAUAUUAUAAUAUAUAUAAACGGUAUCUUCUUCCAUAUUCUGUACAUUGUCUUGCAUCUGUUUUUCUUGAAGGAAUAAUCUUAGUUGAAUGCAUUAAUGGACUGGAGCUUCAAAUGAAGCAAUAGAACUGGUACCCUUGUAUUGAUUAUACUCGCCGACAUGAUCUAUCCAUCAAUCCAUCCAUCCAUCCAUCAAUCAGAUCAAAGAGAAGAGAACCAAGUAAUUGCAGUGAACUUAAAAAGCUCCAAAAGCCUCAAUUGACAUUCCAUCCCCGUAGGAGACUGCAAGUUUUGAUGCAACAUUAAUGUUAACAUGGAGACGAGACUGUUGUGGAAAGAAUGAGAACUAUAAAUCAUUUCAUAGAAUAAUAAGAAAUUCUUGGAUGGAACACUCGGUCAAACCCAUUCCGUCUGCACUUUCAAUAUCAACCCAACAAUAUUUUCUUUAUUUUUUCAUAUACACAUUAUACUCCUUUCAGCAAGGAGAGAAUAAACAUGCACAGCAAGCAUGAGCCACUGUAGGAAGUCAGAAGCGAUGAAAGGAUUGUACAAGAGACCGAAACAGCAGCUUGUUACUUUUUGCAUUGUGAUCAUUCUUCUAAAUCUUCGAAAGUAGUACAUGCAGAUAAAUAGAGACACAUGUCACAUUGCAUGCAAGCAUACAAACAAGCAUAUAGUUACAUAGAAAACAAAAAAACAACUAAUGACUCGAUAGAGUAACGACACCUUUUGGUCCUUCACAAUUCCGCUUAACCUGCUAACGAUCAGUAAAAAUCAGAAGAGAUGUAAAUGCAGUUCCACAAAAUAAAGAAAAGUAUAACCUAGCAAUAUCUAACCAUAAAAGAUGUUACCACACUCCUACAACAUCAUGCAUGCCAUGUCGCCAAGGAGAAAAAGAGAAAGCAUAUACACAAGGAUCAAACCAUCUUGCCAUCCCAUGCCUCGUCCAGCUAUCAGAUGUGCCUCGAUAGACCAACAUAGUAUUCACCAAUACCCAACCAGAAUACACUAAUUUCUCAAUAGCAGAGUCCACUAUGAGGACCAUCUAGCUGUUUGAUCAACAUUCCUUGAGUCAUGAUUCUGCUAUAUGCUAUCCAACAAGCUAAACUUUUCCCUCCAGAAUCCAUAUGAGAUCUCAAGACCAGUGAACUAAGACAUCCCUAGGAAGGAUUGGGUGCUCUCAAAAAGAAAGACUUUCCAGUCUCACCAUAGGGGACUUGACAAAAAUCUCGGAAUCAGAAAUUGGAUGAGUCAUGUACAGACUCAAGUAUUUACCUUCAUUAGUCCAAACAGCAGUAGCAUCAUCUGCAGACAAAGAUUAGCUAUAAUUGAUAAGAUCCUGAAAGUUUGAAACAUGUCUUGCUGAUGAAAAUAUAAAUAUUUUAAAUUGAAAAAGAAAAUAAAUGGAUUUGAUCAGCAGAAAAAGAGAAUGAUCGGAAUUGGAAGCAACAAAUUACAAUCCAGAAUUUUUCAGUAGAAUGCUGACAACUGUAAUGUUUUUCCUUGCCUUCCUGUAAAUUAUGAAAACCCCCUACAAGAUAAGUACUUGCAUUUUGAUGCAUCCCAAUCUCAAGAGAAUGGAAAUGUACGCAUGCGUCAUCAACAGACCUUGAUGGAUGUGGAAUGUUUCAAGUAUAUUAAGUUAUUUUAAAUUAUUAUGCCCAAAAUACCAUUCCAUCCAUCUCCAUAUAAUACUUCAUCCAUCAUCAGCCAAACUUAAUACUAAAAAAUCCAAAAGUAAUUCCACAAAGUAAAACACCAUAAUAGGAAUCCAUUAAGAGAACACCCCAAUAAAAAAAUAAAGAAACUCACUACAGAUCAAAACGAAAGAGUAAACAUGCAAGGGAAGAAAACAGGGAAACACCGACUAAGAAACAAAAGAUUACGAAGAAGAUAAUCCAAUAAUACACCACAAAAACCAUACUCAGAGCAGGCACAUAAAAUGUAAGAAAACUAAUUAAAAAAAUUAACAGAAUAUAACCUAAUAAAACAAGAGAAUAACUUCCAUCAAAAGUUGUAAAAACCCACAAGAAGAGAAAACAAAAAUGAAACCCAAACUCAAAAAUUCACCCACCCCAUGGCCCACCAACGAUAACAACUCAUCAAUGAUGGAUCAAAAAAUAAGGUGGGUGAAAUGAUGAGGCAAAACAUUUAACACAAUAUGAUAAUCAUUUCUGUCCUUUAGCAUCUAACAAGGAAUUACCUGACAUGGCCAAACUAGAAAGGAUUGCCAAGCAAGUGUCAUUGUUGCAGAGCUUUUCAUAAUUUAGGGAUGAAGUGACAAAUAAUGCAAUAAAAAACAAACAAUUGAAAGUGGCUGGUUUUGAUUUUGACAAUGCCCAACUGAGAUUUUUUUAAAAAAUAGCCAAAAAUUUAGUCUAUUUAAUAAUUAAAAAUGUACCCUAACAUGGAUUUCCAAAUAUUUGUUCCAUUUUUACCAACAAACCAUCUUAUAUUAACCAUUUGCAGAAACAAAAUAGGUAAAUCUUUAUUUUCUAAAGAUGUGAGGCACCACUGAUGUGGAGGCUGCAUAAAACAAAUAUAUAUUUAUGAAAAUGAAAACAGGAAGAAAAUAGUGUAAAAAAAUCUGACUUGAUUAGAAGAAAAAAAAAAGCCAAAAAGAUAAGCAUAUAUAUGAAAACAGAUACAGUAAUAUUCUUUUUGCAAAGAUUAAGACGGGCAUCAGCAGAAAAACUAAAUAAAACAAUCAUAAGGUCCUAAUUUUCAACUACUGGGAGUCAAAUAUUUUUGAGUUAACUAUAUUAAAAUCUCAGCAAAAGAAAACAAAGCGAAUUACAAGAAAAGGAAAUCUCAGUUUACAAGAAAGAGUAAAAAGAGAACUCUGUUACUUAAAGAAAGUUAAAACUCCUUACCCAGAUAUGUUACGACGCUUACUCCUCGAUGGACCCCUUCGUAAUCUUUUCAAAUUAUGUCGAGGCACGUCAUCCUCAGUUUGCGAAGAAUAAUAUUCACUGCCAUCUGCAGAUCACAUUUAGCAUUAUAUUCACAAGAAACAUACUAACCAAGAUUAAUAAAGCGAAAACAUAUAAAAGAUCUUAAUGCCUCUUAUUAAUGGUAGAAGAUCUGAAAUGAACCCUAAUUAUGAAAAUGUCUUAUUCAAUAUGGAAGCAACCCAAUAAUUGACUGCUAAUGUAGGAGAUCAUAUCUUAGUGUAUAGGGCAGAAGCCUCCUGAUAGCAUGUAGGGAAAUUUAGUGUGUUGCCUCAAUAUUCUCUCUGCCUUGCACAUCUUGCCAAAUGACAAAUAACCAAAUGUGACCACACAUUUUAGACUCUUAGACAUGCAAGAAAAGAUAAGAACUUAAGAUAUAUGAAGUGAAUCCCAACAUCAAGUUCCAUUUUCAUGUCUAACAGGAUAAUGGAAAAUGAAAAACAAAUAGGUUCUGACAUUGUAAUUUUACACUUAAAAGGAAGCAGCAUUCAGUACGACUAUAUUAAAGUAGUAUCUAGCAUAUAUUUUAGAAAAAUAAAGAGGGAACAGAUAUGCAACCAGAGCAGAGAACAUUAAUAAUUAUUGUUAGGAAGGCAUUCCAUCGCUUGCAUGGAAAAUGCCACAUGCGUUGAGAUAAUAACAAAUAGUGUAUAUACAAAUUUCACCCUACUGACUCUCAGAUCCAACCAAGUACCCAAACUAGACUUUGAUACAUAUUCUCCUACUCAUACCCAUUCCAAACCUGACUAACAAGUCCACUAAUGUAGAUUAAUCAAAUCUAAGAAUGGAAACAGAUGGGUACUUGUGAAUUUCAUCCUACUCAUUCUUAAACCCAACUCAAAUACCUAUUUUCUUACCUAUACCCAUGCAAGACCAAUGAGCACCUUAAUUUAAGCUGGCAUAAACAAGUCAGGAAAGUGCGGAUACCCAAAAGGAGAUCAGCAUUGCCAUGCUUAUGCAACCUACCAUGUGCAGACGAACUUUAAUAUAUUUACUAAAUAAAGGAAAAAGAACUUUGGACUGAAACAUAUAAAAAUCAUGACAAAAGAUCAGCAACUAUUCAAAUAUAAAUCAGACCACCUGCUGUAAAUUAUAAAAAAAUGUACAUUCAUGAACAAUUAGCCAUUUUGAUUGAUCUGAAAUGGGCAAAAUCAAUUAAGGUGGCACGAACUUGUUCAAAAGAGACCAACAGAUGCACCAGUUAAAUGGCAUUAGUCAAUUAUAAUUUACAAUGCAAGAAUAAUACAGAAAAACCUAAAAUUCUAUAUUAAAGGAAGAAUAUAGUUCUUAGUUUGACUAGCAAUAUUGCCCUCAACAAAGACUAAUUAUGAGAAAAAACUCAUGUAGUUAACACCAAAUAGUUAGAAACUUACAGCUUGUACCGAAGCACAAAUUCACUCAAGCUCGAACAAUUAGUUAGAAAAUGAAAGCUUACAAAUACAGCAUUUGUUAUAUUCUGAAGGAAGAUACAUACCUUCAGAAGAUCUCUUAACCUUGAGUGCAGUACCAUCUGGGUGUUGCUUUGAGUUAUUUUUGGUAAAAGAGGAAUUUUUGUUCUUCUGAAUAAUGUUGUUAUCAGAGGGGGACAAAAAAAAAGCUGAGAGAAGCAUCCAAAAUUUAUAUAUUUGCUUCAUAUUAUUUUUUUACCUUUGGUGUUUCUCCUUCAUGUUGUUUGACAUUUUGCUUGACUUCAUGAUGAGAUCGCUUGGCAGCUAUUGUGAUUACUCCUCGUGAAACUUGUUGUUCAGGAAUUUCACAUUUUCCAUUGAAUGGUGGCAUAUAGCAGAACCUUUUUGAAAAGAAGAUUAUUAAUAAAAUAUAACACAUAAAAUGAAACAUGUCAGGAGCCAGAGACAUCCAUGCACGAAAUAAUAAAAGGCAUCACAAGAAAAUGACAAUUGCACCUUAUUGCAAGGCAUCACAAUCGUCCAUCUAGAAGGCAUUUUUGAAGCUUGAUCAUGAUAAUGUCAACACAAAUACUAAGCACAAUCUAUUCACCCUAAAUUGAUUUCAGGAAAUCCGCUUAUACUUUAUAGUCAGGGUGAGCCUUUACAGUGUCAAGGCUCCUUUAUGACUUGAGUGACCAGGGUUCAAGUCAUGAAAAUAAUCUUUCUGUUUGCAAAGAUAUGACACGGCUGCAUAAAUCAAUUCUCACCCAACGCUACAUUGGCAGGAGCGUAGCACACUGGGCCUGCCCUUUUUCACUUAUACUUCGUAAUGACUAUUUAUAAUUGCAUAACCAUUUUGCACAGAACAAUAUCAUCCUCACGUAAUACAAAAGGUGAAAAAGGAACAAGACACAAACCACUCAGGGGGCAAGCUCUCACAAUCGAAGUCAGUGCUCAAAAUCCUCCAUUUGCGGCAUUUGUUGCAUUGAACCCAAUCAUGAUCAGGCUUAUAGCGUUCAUCCACUUUUCUCUGGAGCAAUAAAACUUCUUCAGAAGAAAGGAAAGAAAGAAAGAAGUUGUUUAAUUUAGAUUAACAUUAAUGCUCUUGUGGUUUUCUCUUCUAGAUUCCCGUAAAAAAAAAUAAAAGUUCAAUUAUUGAUUCAAAUAAAAAAAUAACAGAUGAAAUUAUGAUGUCCCUGUUACAUGUAACUAUAAAUUUUUAAACAUAAUAGAAAGUAUGAGAGUAAAAAAUAGAAGUCAAAACAGGGAAAAAAAAGGUACCAAAAAAAUAAGACCUACAGAAUCCACCUAAUGGCAGAAAAUGAAACAAAAGGCUUGUAGCAUGUGACCCACCAUACAAGAGAAUAUUCUAUCCAUAUGUUAUCAAUAGUUAAUCAUAAGUUGGUCGGCACCCCAUUGACUCCCGAUUUACACAAUUAAACUUCACUGCAAAACAGUAGUUUACCUUGAAGUUUAACAAUUUUACUCCUAAAAUUACCCCGAAUAGAGAAUGCCUUUGAAGUCAUUGCUGGACAGUAUUGAAAAACUACUCAGCAUAUAUCUCGAAGGUAAUUAAAAGUUUAAAACUAACAAAACUUGUUCCACAACAUGACAAAAAAUCUUUCUAAUUGAAUAAAGGAAAUGAACCUGUCACUUCUAGGAUUAUUUAAAAUAAACCAAAAAAAGAAUAACAAGAUCAACUGUUACAUUAAAGAAACUAAUAAAAAAAACCUGCAUGAGUUGAAUUAAGCUCUAGAAUACUAGAUGACUCCAAACCUAAAUUGCAUUUAAAUCAACUAAAAUUGCAGCAGCAUGACCUGGUUCCUGGGAUCCGCUGUAUCACUGAAGCCAUUAACCCACAAAUUAAAUAUGGAAUUCCUGAGAUGGGGACCAACUCAGUAUCACUCUAUUAUAGACAUAUUGAUUGAUUUCUCAUAUCUGCCUUAAUUUCCACUAAAAGAAUAUCUUGAUAAAUUAUAGUGAAAAACUAACAACAGAUUUUUUAAGUGAACAUAAAAAAUUAUUGAAAAAGCACAUUUGAGUGCAUACAGCAUACAACCUCGAAAAAGAAUAUUUAUCAUUUUCUCAAGCAGUUCAGAAAUUAGAAAUUGAUAUGAACAAGUACUACUACCAGAAACUCAGGGAUUGAGGAACAUAAUUCUGAAAAAAAAAAUACCACAUCAAGUAUGUCAAAAUUCUUAUCCCAAUAUUCAUCUGCUUUUACUCCCAGCCAUUCCUCCAAUUUAGCAUAUACUUCAGAAUCUUGAAACCCUUGUUUGUUAUUAAGUACUAAGGCACCUCCAUUACCACCAUCCUGCACAACACACACAGAGAUCGACAUGCAAGAUAUUCAUAAGAUUAUAAACACCAAGUAGCAUGAAUGAAUAUAAUAGCAUCUUGUCUAAUUCUCAUAGAAAUAUUCAGAGAAAGUAUUCCACAUAGGAAUCAUACCAUUAGAUUUGUAACAUCUAUUACUCCUAUAACACCACGCCCCAUGUCCGCAUUAUGUACUUGCCCACCAACUCGCUUAUAAGCCUGGAUCAGAAAAUGAAAAGCAUUCAUAUUCAAUGACCAUAAACAUAAUAACAUUGACACAAAGCUAUAUAUCAAACAUCCCUUGAAACAACAAGACAUUAUGAAACUAGAGUCACAGGUAAUAUUGGACAAGAAAUGAUAAAUAAUAGCCUAAAACUUCAGAUCUUGUGCUGCAACUUUUUCUUGCCACCUCUACAAAGAUCAUUUCUAAGUCAAGGGUCUAAAAUCAGUUUAUUAUAAAAAACCUAAUUGCAGUUUUAACAUCAAGAACUUUGUCACUAUCUCUUUCCACAACUUGAGUACUAAAAUUUGCUUCUACAAUGUUUUUUCGUGCUUCAUAAUAAAUAUAAAGUGAAAAGUAGCCUUCAUAAUAAAUAAAGAUAAAAUGAAUAAAGCAGGAGCUAGAGAUAACCUCAAUUAGUCUGCCAUGCCAAUACAAAAACAUUCCACAGUUCAUUCUUUCCCAUUCUACCUUACUCCUACCUAGUGUCAGUAGAACUUCUCUGUCCAUGAUUUGGCCAAGUACCUGAACAGUCUUAUUUAGGCAUUUCGCCAAUGGCUGGCUUUUAACCUGGCAGAGUAAAAAAUAAAAGGUCUAUAGCCCAUAGAUAAGUAUGCAUAAAACCACUAGAAACCAAGCAAUGCAAACAAUUACCAGAGAGCCUUGGACGUAAAUCUUCAUUCGAGGAUUAAAAAAUAUAACCUCCAAAUAAGCUUGUAGUGAAUAAUCCAAUGGCACCUAUAUAACCAAAAUAUAAACAGUAAAGAAAGAGAAUAAGUCAAAAGAAUAUGUUCAUUGAACAGAGAAACUACCAGCAAUACAUAAACAAUUUUUGCAGGUGCAUCACUGCAAGAUCAUAUAUAAUCGAAUGGAACACCCUGCAAUCUUAUCUAUAUGCACUUGUAAAAUAAAACAUUACAAAAUAUAUAUAUCUAGAAUCCUAAAUCUUCACAUUAAUCAGUUUAAAAUAUAUAACAUAAAUCAACUUAGUUAAAGAACAAUGGCAUAUUAAGGAGUAUAAUGAACAACCUUCUGGCUAAUUUGUCCUGGACGUGAUCUUACUCUCCGAGACCGAAUUAAUAUAUCCCCUCGGCUCUGCUGUGUAUUACCAGAACUAUUUGCAUUAUCCCACUCCAAAAUGUAGUUAGAACCCCAUUCAUCUAAAUUCCAUAUGUAAAUCUGUGUUCCUGUCCCAGUUUCACCAAAUGGACCAAAUUUCUCACCAAUAAAAUACUCAUUAAAAGGAGAAAAUUCCUUUACAGCAUUCAAGUUGGAGGCUGCACAUUCUUCUGACUGGAUACAUAAAUCAACUUCCAUAUAGCGCCCUUGUUUUGAAUAUGUGAUGAUUGGAAUCUCAAGGAUCUACAAAAAACACAUAUGAAUAAUUGAAAUAAUGAAGAGACCAUCACAAUCACAGAAGAGCAAUCAAAAUAACUUACUUCUUUGUUUUCAUUGUAACAUUGAGAUAACAAAGCGACAGAUCUGGAGGAGGACGUUUGCGUGAGAACAAGGACAUCUCUACCAAGUUUCAUAGAUCCAGUCUGCAUAGUGAUAAAAUUAAAAUAAAAAGUAAAGUCAAAUAUGAAAAACAGAUGCAUCACUAAAAUUGGAACAUAAGCAAAGCCCUCAAAGAAAUUCUACAUUUCCCCAAAACAAACCCACAGAAUUAAAAAAUUAGGUGUCUCAUUGCAGUGGUGAGACUACAAGAGAGUGCAUCACCUUCUUCAGGAUAUAAACAAGUUACUAGUUCCCAGGCAGCAUCAGAUCCAUUACAAACAAGCAGACAUAUUUAUUCUUAGGAGGCAGAGUCUCAGGAAAAAGGGUGCACAAAUGUCAAAGUUGCAACAAGCAUAUCGUACCACUUAUGGAGCUAUUCUAUAAAAGAAGCAUGUUGAAAUUUGAAAUAAACAACAUAAAAAAGUACAGAUUAUGGUUUUACUUUCUCUCCAUGCAUCAUCGGAAAAAUAUUUGUCGAGACUUCUAUAUCUCUGUUCUGAUAACAUUCAACAUUAGUAUGAUCAACAGCUAUAAAAAGCUAGAACAACAAUCUUCUACCAGUUAAAAGAAUAAAACAACAGUUUGCAGCAGGUUUUAUGCAAACAUCUUACGGCCCUGUAGAUAUGGUUGAAGGAGAUGAAUCAAGUCAAUCAACCAACCAUAAGAAAAGUUUCCAUAAACUUGAAAAUAACAAAUGACCAUGACCAUGAGGGUAAUCAGAGCUUAUUCCCAAACUUAGGUUACUAAUUAUUGGAAUACUUUCUAAGUUCUAACCCAUUAUCCAUCAAGACAAACUAUAGCAGCUGAAAAAUACCUGUGGACAGGGUAGACGCAUUUGAAAACUAUGUAAAGAAGUUCACGGAAUAAGCAGUUGACAAAGUAUAACCUACCUUAAAUCCAAUGCCAAAUCUGCCAAUCUGAUCUGGAUCUUCUUCUGGCUGUUUAUGGCCAAAGGAAAGCAUUCUCAUUAUUUCAGUAUGAGACAUACCAUGUCCAUCAUCAACAAUUGACAGAACAGGAAUUUUGUCCCCUGAUUUUUUAAAAUACAGAUACUCUACGAAUAUGUCCAACCUGUAGAAAUUCAAAGAACUUAAUCUACCAACUAAAAGGUACAUCUCAAAAAAAAUCUGAAGAAUCAAUUAUAGUUCUGGAUGAACAUAAGGAAGAACUCCACAUAAAAAUGAACAUAAGGAAGAACAAAUUUGAUAUGGCAAGACUAAUAAAAAAUAAGAUGCACACCAGAUCUAAGGUCAAUUUUCUUAAAAAUAUAAAUUAAAGCUCAUGCUCUAUAGAUUUUUAAAAACAAAGUUUAGGUAAUCACCACAAUGUCACACUAGACCCAAAGCUAAUAGAAGACUUUGUCAAAAUUACAACAAACGCAAAAUGGCAGACAAUGGUAGCAAACUUCUCCAUAGUCAGAAAAGGAAGAAGCAAAAUGUUAAAUAAGCAUUCUUAUUAAAAUUCAGGGUACAAAUAUAUAUGUAAAUAAUACUUCGAUUAGUUAUCAGAAUGCUAAAAGUGACCAUGGAAAAGUAUUCAAGGUUGAAUCAAACAUCAGUUAAAAACCAGUUUUAAUAUCUAAAAGUAAGGAACAGAGACACAAGCUACAACAUGUGUGUUCGAUAUCACUGAAAAAUGAUUUUAAAAAAAGAACUCCAAGGGGUACUGAGCUAUAUGUAUGGUUAGCAGUCAUUGUCCAUACCACGAAAUACCUGAUAGCUAUGUACCAAUCCUUCCGACAAACCAUGCUAGAGAGUAAAACAAAUUUGUGAUUUGAGAUCUAACAGCUGUAGCUUGCAUACAUUUAGCCACAGAAGUAAUAAAGAAUUAUGAAAAUCGGCAGUUGCCAUUGCUUUGAGAAAAGGGCGGCCAAUUACCUACUCGCUUUGGCAUCCCUAGAGUUGUCAACAAGCUCAGCGAUAGCUCCAAAAAUCCAUCCUGCAUGAGUCUGACUAAGAGUUCUCAAGUAACUUGGAUCUGUCCUCACAAAAUUUUUAGCAAGGGCAUUAUCUUGCACUUUUGGCAUUGGUGAAUUGGUAAAAGCAUGCUCAACAGACACUCUUUGAAGCUUUGCUAUGUGAGUAUCAUCACUCAUGUGAAAAGAGCUCUUCUCUUGGUGCAGAGUAUUAAUUGCAUUCACACUCGAACAUGCAUUGUCAGCUAUCUCUUCUCCAAGAUGAUCACUGAAUUCUUCAGAGUGCACAACUCUCUUUGCAGGAGAGGAAGGCAUUUUCGGAACUCGAUGUACUUGCUCGAGAAAUCCUCUUUUGCAGAAUUUCUCAGCCACAUUUCUCAUGGUACUGUUGGUUCCAGGAUGGAUUUUAUCUGAAUAUGAAGAACCAAAAUAUUUGCUUGUGUAAAGCCCAAGAUCAAACUACUGCUUUUUAUAAAAGAUCGAUAAUCAGAUGCCCAUACAGAGGUCAGCAUAUCUCAGUCAAUACUAAGUCAAUAACUAAAAUAACAAAUAUUAGUUUAAAACAUUUCAGCAUUGCAUGCUAUGCAGAAAAGCAUAUAAAAAGAAGAGAAUUAAUAAAAAAGAAUUAGCAAAAUGAACUGACAAAGUAAACAAGUCCAAAAUCUUGAGCACCUGGAGGCAGUGUAAAAAUGUCAACAGGGCUAAGUCAGGUCCAGCAUAGAACAGUUUUAAGUAUGCACUUGCGUAAGAUGACAGAAUCUUAUCAUCAAAGAGGUAACAGAUAUUGUCAAGUUCUCUUACCUGAUGUUGCAAUUUCUUGUUCAUAACAUGCUGGACGUGAAAUUCGCAUCUGGUAUGGAACAACAGCAUGUGUAGAUUCUGGCCAGUCAUCUGAAGGAAGUAGAUAAAAAUCGCAACACUCACUAUUCACAACUGCAACCUUCAUAGGAAUUAAUUAGUGAAUACUGGAUACUAAUUUAUACAAUAACUAACAUAAGUAGAUUUACAAAACAACAUUAUUUUCAUUCCAAAUGACAAAAAACUUACCUUCUCAUUCUUCCAAAGAAAUUGCAAGAAGGUUUUCCAUUCUCUGCUCUGGUGAGAAUCUUCUGGUUCUGGGUACAAUCUACAUCGAGGCAUUUCCGACUGCCGAAAUGGUUUGCUUGGUCUAAACUUGGUAAUUGGCCAUAGGUUAGGCCUGUCAAAUGCAUAAAAGAAAAUAAAUUGCUCAUGCUCCUAAAACAAGGAGCUGAAAGAAGAAUAUAAAAGAAGUAGCUUAACAAUUUGCUGUCCUCUCACCAUUAAAAAAACAAAAUAUAUUCUAGUAAACAAGAAUUAAAAAUGGUGCUAAAUCCUUGGUCAAGCAAUCAACACAAGCUCCAACACCUCAGUUGGUGAUGUAUAAGAUUGAUUAUACCACAUAAAUAAGAAAAUAAAAAUUAUCUUAGUACAUUAGUUUUAAUCAAUAGCCUGGUAGUUUAAGUUUCUUUAUUGUGACACUGUUCACUUACUAAAUCAGUUGCCUGUUAUGUGCUUUCUUUAAGGAGCACUUCCCAAUAAGUGGUAUCAGACUCAUGAUUCCACUUGGAUAUCAAGUAAUGAACAGUGGACGGGCGUCUUUGCACAACAAGAUUGGUUCGAGCAUUUUUUGCUCCACCAAAGUGGAUCGAAGGUAUAUUUAGUGAGGUGAUAGGAAUACGAAGAUACGAUUCCCAAUUGCAACCAAUUUUAAGAAGGAAACACGGAUAUUGGCCGAAUGGAUUUUUGGUCAUUUUUUUUAUUGCACAUUCUGCACUCUGACAUCUUUGUUAAAAUUACUAUAUAAAAGGGAUCUCAUAUCCCUUGAUAUGAUAGUCAUAUAUUUCCCCCAAUUCCUAUUAAAUAAGAGGGAUUUGACAUCUCUUGAUUUCUAAGUUUAUGAGAUUGAUUAGAUUCUCUAUCAUCUUAUAAAUAGGGUUCUGAUAUACCCACAAUUAGAUAACUAAAGUUAUAAACUAUUCUCCUUUUUCUAUUCUAACAUGGUAUCAAAGCUUCUAUUCUGAUAUUCUUUAGCCAGUGAGGAAGCUACUACCAGGAUACAAUCGAUUCGCAGUCUUCCUCAUGCGACACUCUUUCAUAAGUCGAAUCUUUGAAUCCUUCCAUCUCCCCUGUAGUUUUGAAUCGAUGUCGCAUGUUCCUAUUUCGUUGAUUUCAUCAUCAAGCAGCACCACUAAAUCGUUUCCUUACAUAUCAACAAUUUGAUUCCGUCCGAUCCCCAGAUCUAAGCGUGCCCAUCACUGUCCUAUGAAUCAGCGAUCAGAUCCUUCCCUCCAUCGCAACUCUGCCUGCAACAAUCAUCGAUUCUGCCCAUCCACAUCCGCGUGGCCACCAACCUCACCACUGCCCUCGACCAGCCCUCGUUCCUUUCCUUCCGCUCAGCUUGUCUUGUCAAUGACGGUGGAUCCUCAACCACCGGCUCCUGUGCUGUCGACGCAUAGUCAGAGGGCUCAAUAAUCAACGCAUAGUCGGAGGCUCCCAUCUAAGCUUCUAAGCUCCGAAUGGUGCUUUGGAAUAACGGAUGAGACCACUGUUUAGCAGUUCGUCUAACUGCCUUCUAAGCUCUGCCAACUCUGGAGAGGACAUGCAAUAUAGUGGUCUCGCUGGAGGCUUCACUCCCGGCUCUAACUCAAUAUGAUGAUCCACGCCUCUACGAGGUGGCAGAGUUUUCGGCAACUCAGGUGGCACAACUUCUGUGAACUCCUUCAGAACAUUCGCCACCACAGCAGGUUCAGGAAUAGCCUCCCCGUCGAGUGGCUCUAGCUUCACAGCAACCACGAAGGAUAACUCUCCUUUUCGUACCCCUUUCUUCAAUUGUAAUGCCAAUAUUUGUUGGGGGUCCUUGAUUCCACUCCGAGAGACGGGAACCACACAGGGGUCGUCGCCUCCCAUCAGACAUAGAGUUCAAGAAUGGCAUUGGCACCAAUUUCGCCACGUGCAUCAACUCCAUUCUGAUAAUCACUUGGAAGUCGUCCAGUGGCACCGCCAUCAUGUUUGUGCUCCAGCUCCGUGUUCCGAAUUUGAUGGGGACUCCCUUUGCCAGUCCGGAGAUCCGCUUGGCCUCCGAGUUUACCGCCUUCAUCCGACUUGGAUUCUUCUCCAAGAUCAGCCCAAGUCGCUUUGCUUCUCGAUCGACAAUAAAGUUGUGGGUACCGCCCGUGUCCACCAUUGCACGAGUGUCAUUAUUGAUCGACGGAUCGUGACUCGAUGACGACGACCCACUACUGAAAUGCUAAUACAGUGGGCGAACUUACCAGCAGAAGGUGCCACUUGGGAGAACUAUGACGACUUGAAGAUCAAAUUCCCAGAAUUCAUGAAUUAUCAGCCUCGAGGACAAAGCUUAUUUGAAGAGGGCGGGUCUGUUAGGACUCUAGCUAGGAGAGUCCUAAGUGAGAGGAGCAUUCAUACAAAACCUACCUAAAUCGACCCCUAUUAAAGAGGUGAAGAUGCCGACUAGGGUUUGGAGGUUAUUUCUUAUAGAAGAAUUAUGAGUUGUAAAGGAAUAGGAGUCUUGAGUAGGAGUCCUACUAGAGUCUUGAGUAGGAGUCUUAAUUGAGUAGGAGUCUUGAGUAUGAGUCCUAUUAGGAGUUAGAGUUUAGAAACCCUAUAAAUAGUCAUGUAUUCAUCCUCUUUUGAUAAGCAAUAGAUGAAUCUUUUUUACAGCCUUUAAGCAGCAAUUUGGAGAGAGGAACCCCUAUAGAGUUCCAAGGAGGUUGAUCCCCUAAAGAGAUCAACCCCAAGUUUAGAAUCUCCAAGGGAGGGUUCUAACAAAACUGAGUUCUCAACUCCCGCUUCAAGUCCUCCCAUGUGUCCACUCGACAUCAACCUUGUUGGAUCUCCUCCCAACAGGUUCGCCACCAAAGUUUUGCAUCCUCAUUCAAAUAUAUGGUUGCUAUUGAAACUUUGGUAUCUUCAGAAUUGAGCCUUGUAGCUCGAAAGUAUUGUUCUAUGUCAAACAAAAAAUUCUCAAGCUCCUUUGCGUCCCUAGCACCACCAUAGCAAUGAGGCUCAGGUGCCCUCAAGUUUUGUGGCGACGCAACGCGUGUGUUGCUCCCUCCCGCAUUUAGUGCCCUUGUGAGCGUUGUCACUCUAGAAGUGAGUUCUGCCAUGACUUUGUGCAAAUAUUGCACAGAGUCUUUAGUAUCGUCCGUCAAUCGAUCGACUAGGACCUCAACCUUGUCGAUUCGGGAAACAGCAUCUUCUUGUGAGCUCUCUACACUAAGAAGCCUUCGUUGGCCUUGGUAGAGUUCCUCUAAGCUCGCUUCAAGAACAUCUAGGCGGGUUUCCACCGUUAUGAGUCUCUCCUUAUGGCUCUUUUUCCCGGUUAGCGCUCCAGAUUGUGCCUCCUCCGCUUGCAGAGAAUAGCCAACUUCUCGCAAAUCAUGUUCGCUGCCACAAUCCUCCAGAACGGCUCCACCAACAUGAGAGCGAGUUUACACUUGCAGCCCGCUUGCGGUUGCUUGGGGCAAAGGUCCGGCUUGCCUCGUCUUGCUCGAUUCACCACGAUGCUUUGCCAUGGCGAGUUUACGAAGUUUCUUCGCUGCUUGAUCAAAUUGCUUGCCCGCUCUGAUACCACAAUGUCAUGGACUUAGCUGAAAUCGCCUAAGUCGUGAGGCACCCUUGCUACAAAGUCAUGGACUUAGCUGGAGUAGUCGUGAAGCACCAUUACGCCAACUCCUCGGACUUAGCUGGGAUUGCCUAAGUCAUGAGGCGCCCUUGCGAUAUAUGCGUUCUCAAAAGGUCAACUUAGUUACAACCUCGUACAGGUCCCGAAGGACCUACGAACAAAAAGUUGAUUGGAUUGAAAACGAGCGACGGAUAAGUCCCAACGUCUCGCGAAGAGGGAAGCUUUACAAGCAAUUCAGCAAGCACCUUGAGUGCAAGAGAGCAAGAGAGAGAAAGGAGAAAUCGAGGACUUUCGAAGGUAGAACGAACGAUUGCAAGUCCACAAACAACUGCUCACCGGGUGCCAGACGCGAAGGCAGUUCCCAUCAAAUUAACGUGUGAACUUAUGAAGAUUGUUCAACGCCCGACACUUUACCGAAGCCCCAUCCAGCCCUGUGCCACCCGGGGGGUUCCAGGGUGCUAAUAUGGUUGACGUUUUACGUACAAUUGCGGUUUGCAGAAAACAUAUUGUGGCACACGAAAACGGAGCCAUUUUGGAGCAGUUUGGCCUGACGCAACGAGGGGUCGUAUUGCAACGCUGCGAACUUUUGUUGCUUAUAUUUUCCAAGCAAAAACACACAAAACGAAGGCAAAACAUGCUGACAUGUCUCUGUACAAGCAUGCAAAAGCGACGAACGGUUCGUUGAAUGAAGUUGUUGCGGAUGCACGACGAUCGUUCGUGACAGAAGGUCCUCUCUCUAACUCAGGACAAUCUUCCUCACGUGGCCCUCUUCAAGCGUGUCGUCACCUAAGACCCUCUCCCAUGGGCCCACGAUCUUCCUUCGCUCAUCACUAAUCUGCCCUGCAUGAUGUUCCUCCCUCACACAGCGUGCCUCGUCUACUACAGAUCAUGUAUCUUCCUCUUAGUUUCCUCUUGAUCACAACAUCUCCAUCCAAGAAGCAGAAGCAUAGACUUUUAUCUUUGGCAAGUCCUCCAUUGCUGAGUAUAAUCAAAAUCUAACCUAAUCAACUCACGACAAAUUUAGCUUCUUAUUUUCCAAUCUUAAGUUAGUUUCUACUAAACCAUCUUAUGUUUGCAGGGGGCAUGUUAAAGUUACUAUAUAAAAGGGAUCUCAUAUCCCUUAAUAUGAUCAUCAUAUAUUUCCCCUAAUUCCUAUCAAAUAAAAGGGAUUUGACAUCCCUUGAUUUCUUUGUUUAUGAGAUUGAUUAAACUUUCUUUCACCUUAUGAAUAGGUUAUGAUGCACCCAGAAUUAGAUCAAUAAAACUAUAAACUUUUCUCCUUCUCUCUUCUAAUGAUCUUGAUAAUACUAUAUAACUAUUUUUUAUUUUUUUUCAAGUAAUUAUUUAAAGACUCAGUUCUUAAUUUUCCUUCAAAAAAAGAAUUAUGAAUACCAUGCAGGCAACUUAGAAGUGAGACAAGGAAAGAAAAAAAAAAACUCAAGUAUCAAAUGGAAGAUUGGAACAUUGGUGCGACAAAUAGGCUUAUUAUCCUUUGUCAGCAUCACGUACUGUAUAGGCCCCUCUAUUUGAAUCACAAAAGAAAACUAACUUUCAACAAAUUAAGGUGACAUCAGAAAAACUAGGGUAGAAUCAUAACAUCUCCAUCCAAGAAGCGGGAAGUACAGCCUUUUAUCUCCGUCGUUAAGCACAGUCCUCCAUUGCUGAGCACAAUCAAAAUCUUGCCUAAUCGACUCAUGACAAAUUUAGCUUCUUAGUUUCCAAUCUUAAGUUGGUUUCUACUAAACCAUCUUUAAGUUUGCAGGGGCAUGUUAAAGUUACCAUUUAAAAGGGAUCUCAUAUCCCUUGAUAUGAUCGUCAUAUAUUUUCCUUAAUUCCUAUCAAAUAAAAGGGAUUUGACAUCCCUUGAUUUCUCAGUUUAUGAGAUAGAUUAGAUUUUCUCUUGCCUUAUAAAUAGGGUUAUGAUGUACCCAGAAUUAGAUCAAUAAAACUAUAAACUUUUCUCCUUUUCUCUUCUAACGAUCUUGAUAACACAAUGACUAUUUUUAAUUUUUUUGCAAGUAAUUAUUUAAAGACUCGGUUCUUAAUUUUCCUUCAAAAAAAGAAUAUGAACACCAAACAGGCAACUAGAAGUCAGACAAGGAAAAAAACACAAAACUUACGUAUCAAAUGGAAGAUUGGAAGAUUUGGUGCGGCAAAUAGGCUUAUUAUCCUUUGUCAGCAUCACGUACUGAAUAGGCCCCUCUAUUUGAAUCACAAAAGAAAACUAACCUUUAACAAAUUAAGAUGCCAUCAGAAAAACUAGGGUAGGAUCAUAACAAACCCACUCACCGUCAUUGCCAGGUAGCUCGUUCAAGUUCAACAUCCGCUUCGCCGAUGCUACCCUGUCCCCCACCAAGUGUCACGUACUGAAAGCGCAAUCCACGGAAUAACCCUACAAGACCACCGAAGAAGCCACACAGUAUUCUGCAACGGGAAGGGGAAAGAAAACUUAGCAAGUAACUCGAAACGGCAGCGAAACUCCAACUAAAUCUUAGGUCCUUCUACAUUGUCUCGUCCAACCAAGUUGAACCCUAAAAUCCAAGUGUAGAGCGCCGAAGAGAUGAGCUAGUAAGAAGGGGUAAAAACCGGAAUUUCGAAGAGAAGAACGCACACGAAGAUACCUUCCCGGCCGAGAACACGCUUCUCCGUAGGAGAUAAGUAUCGAGAGGACGAGAGAGGGAGGGAGGCGGGGGAAACCCUUCUUUUCGCCGGAGACGGGGAAGCAGGAGAAAAGGGAGAGAAAAGAAAAGACGGGGGAAGUCGAAGAGAGGCGGUGGGGAUGUCGGGAGUGUAAAACGGUUUCAAAUUUAAAGGCGUCCUCCAAUUCUUUGUCGCUUGUGCGCGCAGCCCAAACGACGUAGGGCUCGGUGGGCCCGCGUCGUUGGGCGGAUGAGAUCCGACGUCAAUGGGCGAGGGCCUUAACGGAGGCGUAUCGAGGAAGAGAAGCAUCACCCGUGUUGCGUGGGAGGAGUCACGUCGCGUUGACCAAAUUGGGUCCGAUACGGUGGAUACAAGUCCAUCCGUAACAAAAUACGUCAAAUUGAGCCGAGCCGUAUCUGUGGGUUUGGUAUGACCAAAUCGUGUGAGAUCGAAUCCGAUUUAUAUUCUAAUUAAGUAAUAUGAUAAAAAGGAAAUCUAAUUUAUUACCAUACAACUUUGGUACUGAUAAUGGAGUAAAUACAACGAAAGGAAUAUGGAGCUCAAAUCCCGAUGCGGUGUAUUACUGGAACAUAGACUGAAAUGAAAGGUGAGCGUACGUACUACCCACAGCGAGUACGCAGAGCUGAUACAGAAUUUUGACACUGACAUAUACCCCUUCUUAUUUUGGACGCAAAAGAGACAAUCAUCAGAGCAAUAUAUAUAUAUAUAUAUAUAUAUAGGAUGAAUUUAAAAAAAAUUGACUUAGAACACCUAUAUUUUAAAAAUAUCCAAACAGAACUCAUAUUUUUUUAAAAAUAUAAUAUUAACUUUGAAAAAUCACUUGGGUUCACAUAAGAUUAAACCAAAUAAAAAAUCGAUUUAACUUAAAUCAGUGUUGCCUUCUUUUUAUUCCAUCGUAGUUAUCAUAGUAUAUUUCAACCUCCUAUGUCAUUUACAAAUGUUAAGUUUUGCCAUCGAUGAUAUCAACUUCUUUGAGUUUAUGUUCGGUCCAUUAACUUCGUGCUUCAUUAUGUUUAGGAUUAUAUUCCGUCCCUGUCAUAUUGUUCAUAAUAGAGCUUCGAGAGUUUUCUUUAAGAUAUGUCUUCAUUUUUAUAGAAAUAUUUGUUAGGAUAUCCGAACUUCUAGUUUAUUGUAUAGUUAAGCUUAUAGAGUCGUAUUGAUGUUUACUAUUUUAAAUAGUAUUCUCAAAAUUUAUUAUUUUAUUAUUAAUAUUUUAAGUAUUCUUUAUAAGAAAAAUACUUAUCUAGAGUAAUUUAUUAUUUUCAUCUUAUUUUUUUUUAAUUAUAAUUUAUUCAUGUAAUAUGUUUUCACAUUUGGGUUUCUAAAGAAGUCUACAAUAUAUGCAAGAAAAUUUGACCGAGAGAAAAUUUUUCCCAGGUGAUGCAUUAUUGUUGAGAAAAUUUUAAAAACAGUACAUUGCGUUGAUGCACUAUUCAAAAUGAUCUCAAAUUCUUAGAAAAAUUUUGAAUAAGAUACUUAUAAGACAUUCAUGUGGUAUAUAUAUAUAUAUAUAUAUAUAUAUAGCAACAAAAGAGAAAAUGCGAGCCCUCCAUUCCCUCCUCCCAGAUCGUCAACCCCAAUAAAGGAAAGAAGACGACCACAAGGGACUUCUCCUACCUCCUUCCCCACAUGACCCCACCGUAUGGUUCUCACCUGAGCCCUCAUCGAUCACACCCACAUUGCCUAAGCUCUUACCUCCAUUGUAAUCAUCGUCCUCCAAAGAGGGGAAGCAAGUGAUCACGACAUGUCUUCACCUCCACUCUCCCCUACAUGGCUCAUCAACCAAUUCCUUAUCUCGAGCAUAUGACAUUGUCCAAUCCCUUGCUCGAGCACCCCAUCGAUUAUGCCCAUGUUGCAUUGACUUUUACCUCCAUCGCUCUCACAACAUCAAAACAAGAUAAUCCUCGAAGAGGAUGGUGUCAUGAGAAUAAUGGAUGAGGGCAAAAGAGGAGGCGUCAGACGAGGGUGCAAGCACAAAGCUAGCAUUGAGAGCAUAAGGAGGAGUGUGGGGUGGGGGUGUUCAAAGGUGUGCUCCGUGAUGGUGUCACUGGGAUGGAGGUGGUGACAUUGCGGUCGGUGGUCAAUGCAUACAACGAUGAAGGGGAUCCUAAGGGUAAAAUGAGGUGAAAGUACAACCAGUGGAGAAAGGCAUUUAGUAAGAUAUUUAGUAAGAUGAGUGUCAUCAAGCUAGCUGGACCUUGUAAUAGGGUGUCAUGAUGAGCCUUACGAGACGAAGACAAUAGGUGUCACAUCCCAGAUUUAUAAAAAUAAUAACAAAUUAAUAUUUUAUUAUCCAUAAUUUAGUUUUUCCUUUUUGAAUUCAAAUCCUUGUUUGCACGAGUAUCUUUCAAUCAAGUUUAAGAUAUAUUACAAACUAAUAGAUUAUUCUAAAAAUAAAUAUAAGAUAAAAGCAUAUCAACAACGAAACCUCAAAAAAAUAUAAAAAUAAUCUUCAAUAUUUAUAUAAUAUAAAUAAAAAUCGAUAAUAUAUCGAUACAUCAGAAAAACGAUAAUAAUUUCUUACAUAAUAAAUAAAAUCAUGCAUCAACCACAUGCAACACAUACAUAAUAACUAAAUAAUAAAAACGUACAUCACACACAAUGGUGCACUCUUUCUAUAGCGGAUGAAGAGACGUAUUUCAUAGGAUGGAUUCCUCCCAACAGUGGAUGGAGAUAAUCUAUAUCGUAUUCCCAACAACGGAUGGAGUGGUAUCCUUCACCCACCCAAGUGGGAACACGUUCCUCCCAACAAUGAAUGAAGGAAUCGUGUAACUAUCACGUCUGAUGGUCCACUAAUCCCCGAAGGGAAUCACUAUAUUUACUCUCGAUAGAGAUUCAUAAAUAUUCAUGAUCAUUCGUUUACACUCAUCCAUUCACUUACGUAUAUAUUAAGAAAUCAAUAUGAUUAAAUAUUAUGAGUGACCAUACUUGAUGUAAAUAUGUUAGACUAUAUUCAUUGGUGGCACCGCACUGUAAUGGGCCACGACUCCUUUCACAAGUUACAUUUCCAAUGUGAACUACUAGCUUAGUUAUAUAUACUUCGUGAUAACAAUUAUAUCAAUAUCAUAAACUUAAGAAAAGUAAAAAAUCAAUAAUUAUUUUUAAAUGAAAUCUUCAGAUAAAACCUUUAAAUUCAUCGAAUCAUAAACCUUUAAGUUCAUCAAAUCAUAAAUGCAUGAAACAUCAAUCUCUCGAUAGUCCUCAAUUAACCAAAACCCUAAUUGAAAUAGCUCAAUUGACUUAAACCAAACUCAAUUCGAUUAUGACCUAACAGAACCAACCUCAAAUCUUUACAGAACCGGUCUAGAAUCACCAUAGACUAGUCUAAUUUGGAUUUGAUUAAUCUCGAUCGAUUAGGUCAAGUAGGUUUGAAUUAGUCAAGUUAGUUUGGAAUCACCCUAAAUCGGUCUUAACUGAUCAAAACAUGCUUGAUUUAGUCUUUUAACGAGCUCAAAUCAAUAAUGAGAGAGGAAAUUGGACUAUGUCAUAUAAUGUUAGCUCAAACCGAAUCAAUCCACUCGAGUCUUAGAUGGAUCACAUGCACUGCACAUGCCUGAUCUAGUAAUAUGUUGAAUUGAGGGACAACAUGCUAGAUAGAGGAGCGAUGAGGUGUCUAAUGCUAAUCACAUAGUUUGGUAGGUUUAACUUCAUGGACUAGGCUAAGCCUCACUUAUAAGUUGGGCAGAGCUUUACCACUAAACUAAGUUAUUCUUGGCUUGCGAGUUGGUCAUGUACAUAGACACAUGAGUUAUUGUUGUACUUUACCACAUGGAUUGAGUCGUACCUAGUCACAUAAAUUAGCCCAUGCUUGACCGCAUAGGCCAAGUCAUACAUGGCAACAUGGACUAGAUCGUACCUAGUCAUAUGGUUGGAUCAUGCUUGGUCAUUCGUACCUUGCCACAUGAGUUGGCUCCUACUUAGUCACAUAGGUUAAGUCAUGCCGAGUCACAUGAGCUAAGUUGUACUUGGCCACAUGGGCUAGGUCGUACAUGAGCACGCGGGCUGAGUUGAUCUGGUUUGACAGAUCAACUUGACUCAAGUCAAACCCCAAUUAGACUCUUGUUAUCAAAUCAUAUUUCAACAUAUAAAAUUAUUAAAGAAUAAUUCAAAUUCAUUAAUUAAAAUUUUUAAUUCAUGAUCUUAAAUUUAAAACUAAUUAUAUUAUAAAAAUUCACACAUAAUUUUGAAACAUAGAUAUAUCUAAUUAAAUAAAUAAGAACUAUUAUGCUAAUCUAAAAAUAAAAAGUAAAUAAUUAAAUAAAUAUUAAACUUCACUUAAGCUUAAGAAAUCAAUAUAAAUCAAAUAAUCAUUCUAACAUCACAAAUGAAUAGUUAUUAUUUGUUAAUCAUAAAAUUUCAAAAUUAAAACAUCAUUAUGCAUCAUAAAAUUAUAUAAAUCUCAAUAUCAAGAUUUUAAAAUAUAAAUCAAAGUUAAUUAAAAAAGAAAGGAUCUUAUCUCUCCUCAACUAUCCUUUUUUCGAUAUCAUCGAAAUCCUCUCUUCAAUCCUCUUAUUAUUAGGCUCGAUGAGAAAUGAGGGAGGAGUAGUCCAAUUUAUAAAGGAGAAGAUGAGAUCUCCUCAAAAGGUAAGUUAUAAUUUAAUUUAAUUUUUAUUUUACUUUCCCACGAAAAUAAAAUAUAAACUAUUUACUUUCUAAAAAUUAAAUCAUUCAUUAGGAAAUAAAUCAAUUAAUAAUUUAAUUAAUUAUAAAACUCUUAACUUAUUCAAAUGAUUAAGAAAAUCAAAUUUAAUCAUUUCCAUAACAAAAGUUAAUAAUAAAAUAAUAAAUCAUUUAUAAUAAUUAAUUUAUGUUAAGAGAGAAAUUAUUGAUGAUUAUAAUAGACAGCAAACGACGAUGAAUAAUUAUAGGACAGGAAAAGAGGUAUCAUUUAAAUAAAAUUAAAAACAUGGACACUUGUAAAAUAACUCAUAAAGAGGAUCAUUUUUAGGAAAAUCACCCAACAAAAUACGAAGACACAAUUUAUCCUUCGAAAAUGUGAAACUCCUGAAAUCCAAUACAUUUACAUGACGCAUUUUAUGGAUAACAUCUGCGAUGGGAUGAUAAAAUUAUCCGCUACAAUAUGCGAUAAUAAACUGUCACACGACAUUUAAUUCUCACAUCAACUACAGACUUCAACUACGUCGCAAGCACUGUCAUGACAAUUUGAUCCAUAAGCUAGCACCACAUACCACUUCAUCGAGAAAUUUCUUAUCUGGAGUUCAACAUAAAUUUCUUAUGUUUCCACAGCAUCAGUGCAAGCUUUGGAGGAAAAAGCUGCUUGGACACGAAAAGACAAUAAUUCAUGUAGUUCAAAUGCAGGAAAUCUCCGUUUAAAACUUGCAGCACACAUCUGAACGCAAUCAACGCCAAAUUUAUAGCCUGGGGAAAGAAAUCCAGCCCACACCAUAAGAAAAUGCAACUGUAGGUUUCUGGGGAUACUAUCUAAGACUACUCGGAGGAAAAUUGCGCAGUGGAUUGGCUUUAAGCAUUUCUGUUUCCCUGUUCAAGUCAGAGAGGUUAGUGAUGAAGCAAAACCAAGCUGAGUGAUAAUAUACGUACAUAUAUUAAAAACAAUUCAAAACUUGUGGAUUUCUUACUUCUUUAUGUUUCGGCUAGUUGCUUGCCUCAGUUUCAAUAUGGAAGAUUUUGGGUUCUUGGUAACUUGAACUAAUGGCAACCUGAUGCAAAAACAAAAUGGAAUUAGCAGGGAAAGAGUUGAUUCACAUGAUAUAUACCUUUUUCUUUUUAACUAAGGGUAAAUAGUGAGGGUAGGAUUCGAGUUCAGGAUCUUAUAAUAAACUAUUAAGGUCUUUUCCAACCAAGCUAGCUGACACCUUCAAAUAAUAAUCGAUUUCACAUGAAUAAUAUAAUCACUAUAUUGCACAUUAGAUGAAUAUAGAUGAAGAAACAUAAACCCUGUCCUUAUAGUGAGUGAUAUAGAAUAUCCUGUCAAUAAUCAAACACAAUUAUUAAUUGCUUGUAUUGAUGUUCUAAACUGUCAUGUCCAUGCAAAUCCAAAUUAUUAUAUUUCGAAUAGUAAUAUGGAUUACUGACUUCAGAGAUUUAACUUAAUCAAAUACAAACCAUCAUGAAGUAUCUGCUAGCAAUUGAUAAGGAUGCAUUUUUCUGCCCAGAAGUAUCAAUUUUAGCUAUGAAAAUGGGUAAAGCUUUUCACAUGCAUGCAAAGGUUAAAACUUUGGAUGACAUACUCUGAGCAUUCUUCAUCAACAUACACCUCAAUACAAGCACUUGAUGUUGCUGAACCUGCACUGUGUCCUAUUUUUUGAGGGAUCUGACACCAUGAGUAGCAAUAUUAUUCAAGAAUAACAACAGUGAACUAUGAAGAAUAAAGAGAGAUUGACUUGAAAGUUAUGGUACAGACCUUAUAUGAUGACCAUUUGGUUGGAAUUGAAGCAUUUUCCUUAUUUCGAUCAGACCGGCAUCCUAAAGUAUUCCAUGGCAUUUCAUUUUUCUUUAAGUUCGGGAGGUGAUAAUUUGUCCCAGAAUUUGCAUCCUUGUACACAGAUAGGUGCUUAUUGGUAUCAACCCUGUGGAAACAAACAUGGAUAAGUCAUUAAUAGUAUCAAUUUCGGUAGUGGAGAAAACAAUAUGUUCUAUUCACAAAGUGGAAUUAUCUAGAAUAUAUAAAUAAUUAACAGGCAAUUAGGCAGAAUACAGUUAGAUCAUUACAUCGGCAUUAUUGAAUGCAGGAAACAAGCAUAGCAUAAACACAAACUGUGAUGAACUUCCAAUUAUACAUCUGGAUAAUUAGCAAUGCCUUUCCUCAUUUACACCAUAGCACGGAAAACCAUGUCCACCUCAUAAAUCCCCGACUUUGGCUCCUAAAAGUGAAGUAGUUUACCUCUGUAGAGUGGCCAUCCUUUUAGAAAAGACCAAAUUUUCUGCUGUCUGUCUUCCUGGCACAUUAAAAGAUAGGUAAGCAGUACACAUGAUACACAAUCAAACACUAAGCUUCCUUACUUGAUUCUGCUGAAGUUAAAACAGUUCCAAAACUCCGCAUUGGCAAGGGAUUAUCUAGCAGAUCGUCCUAUACAAAAAAAAACAUAAGGAGAAUAAGUAUAUGAGGAACAAAAGGACCCUCGAUCAAAUUCAACGCAACUUGCCUCAUUGCCAUGCUUUUUUCGUGAUGAACGGAUGAGAAAUUCCCUGUAUGCAGCUUCUAAUUUCUCCCGUGGUGUUGCCUUCCUACAAUACAAAGUUAAAAUACUAUCUUAGACACAAAACAAACCAACAAACACUUACAAUAUGCUAUCUAUAUGUUGACAUCCAGUCCAAACUAAUUCAUUUGUGUUAAUCAAAAUAUAUUCAAAGGACAUUUUUUCCUCAAAGAGUUUUGUCAUCUUAGACCUUUUCCAUCAAUAUGCACGACCCCGGAAGGUAAGAUGGAUUUUACAGCCAAGUAUUGACCUUAGAUCAAGGAUUAAUGCUUGAGCCAUGUCUAACCAAGACAAAUUUAGGCUUGAGAUUUACUCAACUAGAAAUAAACAAAUCUAGUUGGUGAAGUAGAUACAUCUAUGAACCCCCCUUAAUUUAAUGAUCCUAUAUCUCGAUUGAAAGUGUUGCAGGAGGCUCUUACCUAGACAAACCGAGAUUGAGGACGUCGUCAGCCUUUCUCAACCUGUUCUUUGCCUCCAGGUGCAUGGCAUAGGACGUGUAGAAGAUUGAAUGGUUUUGUCCGAUCUGAUUUGCAUCCAGGAAUUGGAAUAUCACUUCAGCAUCAGCACAGUGGUCGGCCUAUGGGAGCAAUCACGAUCCAUCAAAGUCACAAAGGACAGAAGUGAAGAAGAGAAUGCUCUAACCAAUUAGGCGAGGAAAGAAAGACAAAGGAAUCAAGAAAGCGAUAAUGACACCCACAUAUUCCAGCCACACUUUGAGGUAACGCAAGUCCUCCCGAUAACGCUCGUCAUGCCAAAAGGUGCGCACGCAUUGCUCGUACAUCACGACCAACCCGGAGCACUCUCCUCCGGUGGGAAAUGAUUCUUGAACCCAUUUUAUGCACCUUAAUUUUAGAUCCGAUGGAGGAAGAUAAAGUAGAAAUGUGCAGAUCAAUAUCAAUCCUAAUUACAGAAAAGUAGCACAACUGGCCAGGUGAGAAGCGCUUACUCAAGCCACGGCUGAAGAGGAUCCUCGCCCUGAUACUCAUCGAUGGCCUCUAUCAUCCUCCUGAUGGAUUAUCGAGAGUUCAAAACAGAAAAGGCGAACCAUUCAGACGGCACCCAUCUAGAUCUCUACAGGAAGAGAACGAGAGAAAAGUGUGGAGGAGAGGGAGAAGAGUAAGGGAGGAGUGCCUGCGGGUGCCGAGGAGGGAGGCCUUGAGGUGCCGGUCGGCCUGGGAUCGGAGGGCGUGGUUGAGGAGCUUCACGUUGCGGCCGCGCUUCAAAGGUCGGACAUUCUCCUUGUACACCUCCCACUCAAACCCACCCGUCGCCACUGCGCUUCCAUCCUCCACCUCCGCCUCUCGCAGCCGCCGCCGCUGCUUCUGCAAGAAUGCCGUCUCCGGGUCUACAUCCGCCACCACCAACUCCACCUCUGCUGCUGCGAUCGAUGCCUCCUCCUCCAUCCGCUCUUCCUGAUCUCAAAAGGUUACCUUCCUCUUCCACAAACACGUUAGCAAGAACACGAAAUUCAAAAUUGAGCGGUCUCUCCCGUCGCACUGCCUUUGGGUUGGUGUUACUAAAGUCACGAUUGCUGCACGUGGUACCCCCACCCCCCGAGCAAUUCGAUCCAUUUCAAAUCGAUCUUACGUAAGACAUGAUUGGAUAAAAAAUUAGGGAUGAGUUCAUAAUAAUGAAGAUGCGAGUCCCACGGUGAUUGAGAAUAAGGUGACGUCAAAACAUUUUGACAUGCUGACUCACCCAACCAUCCGCUGCAACCUAGGCAAUGACAAUGGUAGAAGGGCCCACACGUGUUCCCUUCCUUGUAGUGAGCUGUAGGGAAGCGAUCUUUUACCUCUUGCUGAUCACGAUUUUGGAAAAUGUUUGCGAGCUCGAUCGUUGGCAGUAUUAAUCUCUGACGGUGGAAUUCAUCUCCUUUUUUUUUUUUUUUUUUUUUUUUCUGGAUUACAUCAAUUAGGUUUCUUUCCACUAUAACGACCGAGCUAUCCAUGGGAUCGAAUCAAGUCGUGUUGACUCUCUCAUCAAUAAUAUUAAGGUAACAAUAUUUUAGCAUUAAAGGAAGGGUCCGAAUAUCAUAAGAGUAUUCACCUGCAAACCCCCUCAACGAGCACUUCAAUGAAGAAGUGCCAUCGCCUACACAUAGUGCCUUCGGAUAGAGAGGACAACUACCCUCUUUCCCACAACUAUACGCCUCCAAUUCAACACAAACUCCAGGGCACUAUUGGUGUCAGUUCAACGACCUAGGGCUCUUCCCUUUAGGAUCAAAUGCGGGGCACCUGAACAUCUCUGCUGAGGCCUUUCUAAGCCUCACACAUAAGGUAUAGGUGCUGGUUGGAAUGAUGUAGGCCAUUGCUCCUCUCCUAUCCCAACUGACCCAAUAGUCAACCCCACCUCCAACACUACGACCGAUGGUCUAGCCCUCACUUACUCCUGCACCUCUCGGGGCCUCCCAACAGAUCCACAACCAAUUGCCCUAGACUAUUCCCGAUAGACUAAAGUGUCACUUGGAGCACCAUUGUCCCUUAUAGUAGAAUUUAGCACACCCCCUUGUCGUGGAUCUGCCCUUCCCGAGUUAGAAACCCAAUAUGUUAACUCGAUAGAGAACUUACUCAGGGCUAACUUUGCCAAGUCAACCAAUGCCUGGAUAGGACAUAACAUAGUUAUGCUAGUUACAAGUACCCUGCAAGUCAAUCACAUAAGUGUUGACACUUUUGAUUAUUAUUAUUAUGAUAUUUUCAUACUUUAUAUUAGAUAAUAAAUAUAUUAUGAUGUCUUUGAAUCUAUACAACGGGAAUUAGAUCAUGAUGAAAUCAUGAUAAUAAGACCAAUUUGCCUAUAAACAUAGACAAUAAAUAUUCUCAAUCAUAGGUUACUUGAUAUGAACAUUGAGAAAAUCGGAUAGAUCGGUGUACUAUAUACCUAUCCAUAUGAUGGAGGUAACUAGUCUCAUAGCUGCAUGUGUAGGGACACUAGAGAUAUAAUGCAGGUGCUCAUUGGAGAAUGAGUUCACUAAAUGAUCCGCUCAUGAAAUAUUAGAUAGUUAAUAAUAUUUUAUUAUCAUAUAGUGGUUUUGUGAUCGUAGUUAUGUGUUUGAUCCUUAAACUUGAGACAUCAAGGAUGUCAUAUAUGUGCACUCCACUAUUUGAUAGCAGACUUAAAGGUUUGGAAGUUUCAGAUAUAAUAUAACUGGUCAUCGGGAGUGGUAGCCAACCUAAUGAGGGCAAUUAAUUAUUAGAGGAUCAUCCACUCUUGGUGUCAUGAGAGGAAUGUCUCGUAUGUUUUCGCUCAGGAAAAUCCCUUGCCAUAGUCAUUCGGAUUGUGAAAGAAAGAGUUUAUCCGGGAGAAUCUGAUUAGAGCGAGACUCGAGUAGAUUCUAUAUGGGCUUGACAGCACCAUACCCGAUAUAUGAUCUAUGAGAUAUUAGAUAUAUGAGGGACUAUAGAUACAUGAUAACUGAAGGUAGACAAGUCCAAUGGAUUAGAUCCCCUUGUACUGUUUGGGGACUAUGACGUAGUAGUCUAGUACAUAUAUAGUUGAUGAAUUGAGUGAAUUAUUAUGUGGAUAAUAAUUCACUAAGUCGAAAAGAGUUUUAAGUUAAAAGGAGUUCUAACAGGUGCAACUUAUUAUUAGCUCGAUAUAGGGCCUAGAGGGAACACACAUAUGGUAGAUGAAGUGACGAAUAGAGGAUUGGAUAUGACAUAUCUAAUGAGCCCCUAUUUUAAUGAAUCCUUGGGUGAGAUCCAAUAAAGCCUAGAAUAGUUAUUUGAUACUAAUCUAAUAUACUUUAAAAUCAAAAUAAUUAGAUGGAGAUCCAAUAUCCAUUAUGGCAGGAUCCAUUAGGGUUAACCGAAGGAGCCAUCUAUAAAUAGGAGUUUGGGCUACAUGAGUCAUAGGCUAGACCCACAAGUCGUCGCCCCUAUCCUUCUCUCCAUGCUUCUUUCUCAACCGACUAUCCCCUCUAUAGUGCGAGAGGGUAGCAAGAAGGACUGCCCCUAUUAUGUGGUGGUGGUGCGCGAAGGCGAGGAAAGAACGCGUUGCAAGAGGAGAUGCAUCGUCACUUCAUCCGCUGUGUGAAUCAUCGCUAGAGAGGAGAAUACAAGAUCUCCUUUAUCCAUAGAUUGAGAUAUAUAUAUCAGAGAUAUACAAAUUCCCUUAGGUGAGACCAUCUCAUAUCUUAUGCAGUUUUUUAUUUCACGAUUUUUUGCUCUCAAUCGUCACAUACUAUUCAAUAUAAAUCUGUUUUUCAAAAAUUGAUUUCUGUUCUAUUUUUUUACUGUACAUGUAAUGCUCUCAUAGAUUUCCUUCCCAACAAGUUCUAGCACUUGAAGGUAGAAGCUUAUAACCAUGCUUCAAGUCGCUCUCCAUUCGUCUAAAGCAUUCAAAAGGAACCUCUUCUAGCCAACUUCCUCCUCCUAAAGUUAGAGGCAUUUGACAGUAGCUCUGAUCUAAUGGAGCACAUUAUAGCCUUCAGAGCCUAUAUUUCCUUAUACAGUAUGUCGAACACCCUAAUGUGUCGAGUAUUCUCAAUGACAUUAAGGGGCUCGACCCGAGAAUGGUAUAGCCACCUGAAGCUAUUCUCGGUCUCCUCCUUUGCCCAGCUCGUAAAAGAGUUCAAGAUUCAUUUUCUUACUAAUGUGUGCAUGAAGCCCUCAACGUCCAUGCUGCUCGGGUUAAGGCAAAGGGAGGACGAGCCCCUCUCUUGCUUUGCCAAUAAGAUCCAAGGGGUCCAAAACGCCCACCCCUCUCUAGUGAUACAAGCUUUCAUAAAAGAUCUAUAACCCUCAAGAUUUUUCUAGUCAUUGGUUAGGAGGCCACCCAUGACUAUCCCCAAAAUGCUCCAAAGUGCCAACCAAUACGUGAUCGUAAAUGCCAUGAUCUCAGGCCAGAGCAAAGAGCCUCACAAGAUAUCACGCUAAGAACUAUCCCAAACCCCAACCUCAGGCUCGUCGUAGAGGAGACACCCCUGACCCAAGGCACCACACUCGAGGCUCGAGCCAAUCCCUCUCAACAUAACGAAGAUGAAGAUCUUUCUCCAAAUAAGGAAAAAAUGAUUCUUGAAGGAGCUAAUGCCCCAGAGAACCCCCUUAGAGCAGAGGGACAGAUCGAAGUAUAGUUACUUCCAUUGAGAUUAUAACCAUGACAUAGAGGAAUAUUGUGACCUUAAGCACAAGAUCGGAGAGCUUAUAUGAAGGAGCCACCUCAGAAAGUUCCUUUACAAACCCCAAGAACCAUCCCCUCGGCCCCAGGGCCUUGUCGAGAAGCAGAUGGAUGUCAUCUUUGGUGAACCUACCUUGAGGGGGGACAACUCCUCAGAACGCAAGGCCUAUGCCCAAGCCAUUAUAGAAAAGUGCCCAAGGCAUGAGGAAGGCUAAAAAUCAUUUUUGAAGAAGAAGAGGCUAAGCACCUCGACCCCACACAUGAUGACACAUUGGUAAUCUCGGUCAGGAUGGCCAACGCCUAGGUGAAGAGGGUCAUGGUUGAUAUGGGUAGCUACGCCGAUGUGCUCCACUUUGAUACUUUCUAGAAGUUGGGAUUGAUGGUGGGUGAUCUCUCCCCGAUGACAACAUUGUUGAUCGGGUUUAUCGGGGAUUCCAUCUCCCCUCUCAGGAUAGUAAACCUAUAUAUUACCUUUGGUGAACAACCACACUCCAAGACCCUAGCGACCAAGAUUAUGUGGGAGACAUCCCUUCAGCCUCCAAUGACAUCAUCGGCUGGCCUUCUCUUAACCAGUUGAGGGCAUUAGUGUCAACGUAUCACAUAGUGAAUGAAGAUUCUAACCAAGACUAACAUUGGUGAAGUAAGAACCCUUGGGAGUCUAGGUAGUGCUAUCUGAUAACAGUUUCGCUAUUAAAGAAGACAAAGAUUGAAGCAUCACUUAUGGAUCUUAGGGAUCCCAACAAGGCCCCUCCGCAUCUUGAGUCGAUGGAGUAGCUAGUCAAGGUCCCCCUUAACAAAGCCCAACCCUACUAGGUCAUUAAGAUUGUAGCAGUGCUCCCUGAGAAAAGCCACAUCUAGCUAAUUGACUUCCUUAGUAAAACACCGACAUCUUUGCUUGGUCACCCAAAGAUAUGUUGGGCAUCGACCUAGAGGUCACACAAUACCACUUGAAUAUCCUCCCUGGGACUCGAUCGGUGAAGCAAAGGCCCUAGAGAUUCGCUCUCGAAUGCCAACAAGUAAUUUAUGAUGAAGUAGAGAAGUUGUUGGAAGAAGGGUUCAUUUCUAAAGUCCAUUAUCUUUUAUGGUUCUCUAAUGUCAUCCUGGUUAAGAAAGUUAAUGAAAGUUGGAGGAUGCAUGUUGACUACACCAAUCUUAACUAGGUCUAUCCAAUGGAUAGUUACCCACUCCCGAUCAAUUGGUGGAUGCCACCUUGAGGCAUGCGCUCCUCACCUUCAUGAAUUUAUUUUUAGGUUACAAUCAGAUAAGGAUGGCGUCUUAGGAUCGGGAGCACACCUCCUUCAUUACUGACCAAGGUGUAUACUACUAUGAGGUCAUGCCCUUCAGGUUGAAAAACAUGGGAGCUACCUAUCAAAGAAUGAUCAAUAAAAUAUUCAAAUAUUAGAUCGGGAGAAACAUGGAGGUAUAUGUGGACGACAUUAUAGUAAAAAGCAAAACAUCAUGCACUCAUAUGGUAGAUCUGGUAGAGAUAUUCUAAACCCUGAAGAAGUUUAAUAUGCGCCUAAAAUCCAUCCAUAUGUGCCUUUGGAGUCGGGUCGAGGAGGUUCCUUGGCUUCAUCAUCCAUCGAAGGGGAAUAGAUGUCAACCCCGAGAAGGGCCAUGCCAUAAUCGAGAUGUAACCUUCUCAGUCCAUAAAAGAAGUAUAGUGGCUUACCGGGUGACUAGACGCACUUAGCUGGUUCUUAUCCCAAUUGAGCGACAAAUUCCUCCCCUUCUUCCGAGCAUUGAAGAACCUAAAGGACUUUAUCUGGGCUAAGGAGUACCAAGAAGCCAUUGACAUUUUGAAGUGCCACCUUGUUCGAUUGUCAUAACUCACUUCAGCCACCCCAAGUGAGACACUGAGCCUAUACCUUACGACCACUAGCUAAGUUAUCGGCUCAGUGUUGUUUUGAGAAGAUGCAAGAGUACAACAACCCAUGUACUACACUAGCCAUAUUCUGAAUGGCCUCGAGGAGUGCUAUCCCUCCAUUGAGAAGCUAACGUUCGCUCUAGUACUUGUAGCAAGGAAGUUGUGCCCUUACUUUCAAUCGCACCCGAUAUGAGUGGUCACCAAUCAAACAAUCCAGCAAGUCCUCUUGAGAUUCAACAUCUCCGGGAAAAUGCUAAAGUGGUCAGUGGAGCUUGGAGAAUUUGACAUACAAUAUAUCCCGAAGAUAGCCAUCAAAGCCUAUGUGCUAGCAGAUUUCAUAUCAGAGCUGGCACCUUCUCCCGAAGGUGAAGGAGGAGAGCACGUCAUCCCAACCUAGACCUUAUUCGUCAACAAUUCAACCACUUCAGAAAGAGAUAGAGUUGGACUUGUACAGAGGGGCCUAGGCAACCAGGUCUACAUGCAUGUCCUUUCGUUCGAGUUCAAAAUAACUAACAAUGAAGUUGAAUAUGAAGCUCUCCUUUUUGAGCUUCAACUAGCAUGAGAGCUUUAGCUGGAUUGACGAGAGUUAUGAAACCUAAUAUGCACCGAUGGCAAGAUACUUAGCCAAGGUGUGCCAACUUGCCCAUUGCUUCCUUCGACUUACCGUGUAAAGGAUCACAUGGGUGGAUAAUGCCCAAGCAAAUGGACUGGCCAAGUUAGCUUCAGCUUGAUCGACAGGAAGGAGCCACCCGAUGGUUGAGGUUCUCCCUACUUGAAUCAUCAAAGCAUAGGACAUUACCACCAUGAUGUGAUGCGAUAGUAGACAAGGAUCCGUUAGGGACACUCAUGCUCUGGAAAAGCCCACUACGACAAAGCCCCCAGCCCACUACGAUGAAGGCCUAAGCUUGCUACAAUGGGAGGAAGACCUACUACGAUGGAUGACGAGGCCCGCUACGGUGGAGCCCUAAACUCGAUACGACGAGAGGAAGACCCACUAUGAUGGACAACAAGAUCCAUUACGACGGAGCCUUAAGGCCACUAUGACAGACGACGAGGCCCACUAUGGUGGAGCCCCCAGCACACUACGGUGGAACUCUCAUCCUAAUAUGGCAAGAAAAAAAAUCUAUUACAAUAGAGAUAAAUAUGACAAAACGUCAGACAUGAUGUACUCGAGACAAACAAGUCAGAAAAUUACAGGCACACUAAAUGGGAUACACCAAAAAUAUAAAAAUCGUGGAACCCGACCCAAUCAACCCCGACGAAACAAAAUGGCUGAAUGAUGUGCCUUGAACCCCCUUAUUGGAGCUCUAAAGUAUGUCUUCUAGGGUGGAUUAAUGAUAGGGAACAAGGUGAUGUCAACUUUGACCUGUUGACUCACCCAACAACCCAUUACCACCUAGGUAGUGACGAGGGCAAAAAGGCCCACACACCUCCCCUUCCUUGCAGCGAGUAGUUGGGAAGCAAACUUUCACCUCCCAACAAUAAUGAUUUUGGGAAAGGUCGCUCGAUCGUAGAGAGCAUUAAUCUCCGACGGCGGAACUCAUCUCUCCCUUUUCCGGCCACAUGCCCUAAAGGGACCAUUGAUCCCUGGCAAUGAGGCCCAUCUCUCCCUUUCUCGAUUGCUUGGCACGGGCGAUCACCGUUCGCUUAUAGCAGACACCAACCCAAACAAAUAACACCCCUAUUAUCGUCCUUCGUUGAUGAUGCGUCAUAAAAAAAUAUACCAACCAAUCGUCAACAUAAAUAAACCCUUGUAAGAGUACGAAUCGAGGAAAGUGCCAUCAGCCUCCCGUCAUCGAUCGCUCAGGUAUAAAAAUCAAUUUUCAAAACUUAGAGGAGGGCACCGGAAAAAAAAAAACACUCAACCAAUUUUAUUUUAUUAUUACUUUUAUCAUCGAAAUGAUGAGGUCGGGAAUUCAUUGAUAACCGUUUAUGUAGAAAUUCUGGUCCAGCUCUGGAACCCCGAGAAAUCUCACAUCCCGAUCCGAUGUGGAGUCCAACUUGCACGAACAAAUGAAACCUCGGGAUUACAUCGAUCGGAUUUCUCGCCACUUCAACUGCGUCUUGCGUCUUGCGUCAUUCAUGUGGGCCUAUAGGACAAACUUACGCUUUUAAGACGGAAUCAAACGACUCCCCAGUCAACAACACCCAGAAUUCUACCAACCGGGGGCUCCUAUUUACUAAAGCCUGUCUGGGGUUGGACAGACCCGUACGCCAUGUUGCGUGUCCAUUAAACCCUAACUCCUUACCAACGAUUCCUUCAGCGCGGCUGAGGACGAUCCGCCCAAGUCUUCUUAGGCAAGCUUCCUCUCUUCCGCUCUCGAUCCCUCCGUUUCUUCAAGCUAUUCUUUUCCUCUGGUGUUCUUCUCGGUGAUUGCUCUCUCUUUCACGUCGGUCAGCAGCGGAGUCCUUCGUCACUUUAUCGCUGCCAUGUCGUCGAUUGGAGAGCUCGCCUGCACCUACGCCGCGCUCAUCCUCCACGACGACGGCAUACCCAUCACGGUUCUCUCCCUCGUUCUCUGUUCCUCUAGGGUUCUUCUUUUGUUUGCAGCGAUUAUAUGUGCAUUCUUAUUUCUUUCUUUACAUGUCUUGUCGAAUGAUCAGUCGGAGAAGAUCUUAACCGUAGUUAAGGCGGCCAAUCUGACUAUCGACUCCUACUGGGCGCCCCUCUUCGCCAAGCUCCUCGAGAAGAGAAGCGUCGACGAUCUCAUCUUGAGCGUUGGAUCCGGUUCGAUCUUGUUUCUCUUCUUAUCAAGAAAAAUCCGAUUUUUAAGUUCUUUGUGCAUAAUGUUUGAAUGUUCUUGCAGGAGGUGGCGGUGCUUCGGUUGCAGUCUCUGCUGCCCCUGCUGCUGGUGCGGGUGGUGGUGCUGCCGCUGCUGCCGCUCCUGCGGCUGAGGAGAAAAAGGUGAGAUAUUUGUAAAUUUCCUUGCGUUUGUUUAUGUUCGCUACAUCGGAAUUUAAUCUGUAAAGAGUUGGCAAAGGGUUUCAUUUGUUUUUUUUUAUUUUCCCUUCUGUUGCCGCAGGAGGAACCCAAGGAGGAGAGCGACGACGACAUGGGAUUCAGCUUGUUUGAUUAGAGAGAAAGCGAGAGCACUGCUUUAGUACUAUUGCCGAUUUAAGUCUUUUCCUGAUUUUGGUGUUAUGACGUUCAAUUUUGCUUCUAACACAUUUGCGUAUGUCAACUCAAGGUGGCAGGAUUAUUUCUAAUGGAAUGUAAGAAUUUUUCAUGUUGGUAUAUGAUGUUUCUAUUUAGCGAAUUGUUGUGUUCGUACUUUAUUUUGUUCUAUUCUUGCUAUGGGCAUGAUUUGUGAGCAUAUUUUGUGGACACUGAUCUUUCUUUAGCUUGACCGGAUGCAUAUAUUGCUGUGUUACUCUGGCACGCAUGAACUUGUUCAGUGUCUGUAUAGUAUAUCUAAUCUGAGGUGCGAGUGCAAUAAAAUGUGACAUAUAUUUUGUUUCUUCACUUGUUGCACACAAGACAGCUACUCUUGUUGAUGCUUACAGAGCCAAUAUUUCUUCUUAUAUUUUGUCCCAAUUCAUUCUUGAAUUGAUAAUGAGUCUAGAUAAAAACUGUGAUGGUUGGUGCCCAUUGAUGACAAUUGGUUUUGUUUUGCAAGGAUGGAUGAAAAAACCCAAAGAUAAUGCUAUGCUUUUUCAUUCACCAUUAGUGACUAGUCAUUAUGGUGUUUAGGGUGCCAUCCUUUCAACGUUUGAUCUAUUGUUCGAUUAUAAUAUCAAUGGAUUUGCGCCUACAAGUAUUAGAGCCUUGUAUAAAUUUAACCAUCUGUUAUUAGUGGAAUCAUUGGUAUAUAGCAUGAGAUCAUGGUUAUUGUUGCUGUCUUUGUUCUUGAUGGUUCUGCCUCUUUGUAACCUUUCAUUCUCUUUUUAUGCUUUCUGUAAAACUCUGCCUUUUGUUGUAGAUUGAUGAUUGCCCUUCUCUGGUUGCAACUGUAUAUGAAAAAACAAAAUUAAGGUUACGCUUUUCCAUUCACCAUUGGCAAUGAGCUUUGGUGCCACUUUCUUCAGUCUUCGUGACAUUGUUCAAUUAGUAUUAAGGUCUUGAAGGUUGCUGCCAUGCACAAACAGUAGUAAUUUAACUGUGUGCUAUUAGUCCAAUAUAUGAUAUGUAUAUAGACUUAAAUCUUUGUCAUUGGUGUUUCCAUUCUACUGUAACCUCUCAGCGUUGAGAUAGUCACCCUUCCUAUCAUUAUCAGCAGCAAAGUGCUCCAGCUUAAUUCUUUGAUCACAAAAUUUUCUUGUUGAAUUCUUUGAUCUGUCAUGAUUCUUCGAUUUCAAUUCUCCAUCACAGUAAUUUGUUAGACAAUUUAUCAUCACAGUAAUUUGUUGUAUUAAUGGUUUAGAAUACCUAAAUGAUAACAUGAAUUACUCUUUUACUGUAUUAAAUGAUACCAUGCCAUCAACUUAUAAAACCUUUUAGUUUUUAUCAUCAUUCAGUCUCAGAUAUGACAACUAAAUGAAGAAUUAGGAAGGUCAGUUGUAAUUAUGCAUAUACGGCCAUGGUCUAACUAUGAAUGCAUGUAUAUAUAUCAUUUUGCACAAUUGAAUUGUAUGCAAUCACCUAAUUUAAAAUGCAAUUCUGUUAUAAAUUAUUGUUCCCAUAUUAUGUAUCAGAAGUAGUUGAUGUGGACAAGCAUAUGCACUCUUGCAUGUAAAUUUUUUUUCUGAUCUUGUGUAUAUGCUACAUAUGUAUAUGUACAUUUUAUACAUGGUCCCAGUGUUUUAGCGGUUAUCAUGAGAUCCAAUUCCCAAGUGCAAAAGUGUCCCUGGCUCUUGAAAGGUUCAUCAUAUCUACUUUCCUUGUGUCGAAGGGCUCAAAUGUGUUUAUCAUCAUAUGAAGGCACCAUCUAUGGAGCAGCCUUCAUUACGAAUCGCUGUUCUGCAUCCCUACAACGUAUCGAUUAUGGAUGUGGAUCUUAUUAAUAUGCGACCGUGGUAUAUUUUUGUGCAGCUUGGUUUACGUUUGAUGCACAUUUAGAUGGCCUCUUCAUAACGCAUGUUUGCUACUCGAUAAUAUAUUUAGACCUUCGAUGUAUUCAUGCUUUCCUGUGUUAAUCAUGAUUACAAAUGAGUUUUACAAUAGUGUCACAAUUUUGAAGUACUUAAAAUGCCCUUUAAUUGAGAACUUAAUUGUAAUAAUUAUAAGACUAUAGGAUACUAGUAAACUCUUAUUGGAUUCAAAUUCAGAUACUCCAAAAGCUUGUCGGGUUGGACCCAAGAUCCGAUAUCGAAUCAACCCGCUAACUACCGCAACGGGGGCAAUUUCGGUAAUCGGUCGCCAAAAAAAAGAUGGAACAGUCUGCUGACGUGGCGGGAUCUACGGCUCACCCGUGCGACGCACGCCUUCGCAUAUUCCGCUUUAUGUUCUUGGUUCACCCCUGGACCCACGCCCUUCCCAUGUCACAUCGCCACGCGUCGCGGCGCUGCUUCGUUGUCUCCUCUCCUACAGGGUACGAGGCUCCGCUGCUUCCCAUGUCAAGCUCAAGCCUCGCUGCUCGCAGAAAGAGAGGGAGAGAAACCAGUCUCUCUCUCUCUCUCACAUCGAAGAGAGAGCGGUAAUUUCUGUUGGCUUUCAUAUUGUUCUAACAUCUGUUAGCGAAAUCGGUAGCAUUAUCUCCUUGUUUUGUCGCGAUCUCUUUGAUACCGUGGAGUUUCUGCUUCUACAAUGUCUGGGGACCGAGUUUAGGUUUGAGUUUCUUGGAUUCUUGCACUAGAAAUCAUUGAUCCUCUUUGGAUCAUUCUUUUACUAGUCGGAUUCUCUAUUCUCGAGUUACUCUGAUCGAUCUUUAAACUCAAGUUCAUGGGAAUCAAUUCAACAUAUGAUUUGAACGAAAUUUGGUACAAAGAACACUGAGAAUUCACCAAAAAAAUGCAAAUAUCUUCGAUUCGGUUGCAGCGACGUAUUCCCCAAUGGCUGCUGUGACGGCAUCGCACUUCGUCUCGAAUCGCUCACGCUCCGCCUACAACGGAGCUUUUGAUUCCGAGCCGGUGAAGUUCCAGAGCUUCAGGAUUCCCUACUUGAGUAGCCGUGCCGCCGCUCAUGAAGGGCUGAGAUCGAGGAACGUGGUGGAUUCACUUCAAAUGCAGCAGAACUCGAAGGCAUCUUCUGAGAAAGCUACAAGGGGUUCCCGGCGUUCGACUCGUAAGCCCUGGGCUGUUGUUGUGUGUCGAAGUAGAAUGAACUUGGUGUUCGUUGGUGCUGAGGUGGCUCCAUGGAGCAAAACUGGGGGUCUCGGUGAUGUUCUUGGAGGAUUGCCACCGGCCAUGGCGGUAUUCCUUAUACUGUUGCUCAAUGCUGCACGGUUGCCUCAUGCAACUCGUUGAUUUUUUUGUGUGAUCAACAAUUCUCUUAGCAGGAACCUAUUUUGACUCGAUUAUUUGGGGCUGAUCCUCCUGUAGGCUAAUGGACACAGGGUCAUGACUGUCGCACCACGGUAUGAUCAAUACAGAGAUGCGUGGGAUACGAGCAUCAUGGUUGAGGUACGCUAUUUAGUUGAUGCCACAAGCGUUUCCAAUCUUUUGAGCCAAACUGCUUGAUCUCUAUUCCUGAAUGCAGUUAAAAGUCGGGGGCAGCAUCGAAACUGUUCACUUCUUCCACUGCCACAAAAAUGGGGUUGAUCGGGUUUUUCUUGAUCACCCUAUGUUUCUUGAGAAGGUUUUUCUUAUAUCUACCUUGGAAAAUAAUUUUCUAAGAGUACCGAUAAUGUUAAUUUGUUUUGUCCACAUAAAGCUUACCAUAAAUCUGCACGCCUUAGGUUUGGGGAAAAACUGGAGGAAAGAUAUAUGGUCCUCUCGCAGGAACUGAUUAUGAAGACAACCAGAUAAGAUUCAGCCUUCUGUGCCAGGUGAGGGACUUGUGCAUUUUGUGAUCAAACAAUUACCAGCAUCAGGAGGUUUCCUUGAAGCUUGUAAACUUUAAAUUUCUCUCUGUUGUAGUUUUCACAAAGAUGCGGAUUACUUUUUCAGGCAGCUCUGCAAGCUCCAAGAGUUCUACAUCUCAACAACAGUUAACACUUCUCUGGACCGUGUGGUAUGUGAAUGAUCUUUGUUCAUAAUAUUCUGUUGAACUGAUCAAUUCUACCAAUGAUUUUUGUUAUUGUCAAUGAUUUCUUUUAUCCAGGGGAGGAUGUUGUGCUUGUUGCCAAUAAUUGGCACACUGCUUUACUGCCAUGCUACUUAGAAACCAUGUACCAAUCACACAGCAUUUACAAGAAUGCAAGGUGUGUUUCCCAUGUUACCCGAUUUUAUUCUUAGUUUUUGGGAAUUUCUACUGAUAGAUAGGUAACUGAUUCAUUGAGCAAUCGUUUUACUUGACCAAUUUAAAUCUUCCUUUGAUUUUAUUGAUGGGUAUGCUUUUCAAUUAUAUAUUUUUUAGUUAUUAAUCUGAAAUUGUUGUAAAUGAAUUUCUCGUCACAGACAAAAUCACAUAAUAAAUUGAAUUUGCAGAUAUGACAAACCUGUGAAAGGAAGGAAAAUUAGGAUGAAAGCUGGAAUCCUAGAAUCAGACAGGUUUGUGACUGUAAGCCCAUAUUACGCCCAAUAGCUUGUCUCAGGGGAAGAAAAGGGUGUUGAGUUGACAACAUCCUGCUGACAGGCAUCACUGGAAUAGUAAAUGGGAUGGACACAAAUGAGUGGAAUCCAUCGACAGACAGAUAUAUAUCUGCAAAUUAUGAUGCAACAACAGUAAGCAUUGCCAGCCGAUUUUGACCUUACUUUUGACUCUACAAUUGAAUUAUAAAGAAAGUUUUAGGUAAUGGAUGCAAAACCUUUCAACAAGGAAGCUUUGCAAGUUGAGGUUAAGCUGCUUGUCGACCGAAACAUCCCUGUUAUAGCCUUCAUCGGACGACUAGAAGAGCAGAAAGGCUCAGACAUUCUAGCUGCAGCAAUUCCAGAAUUCAUUGAUGAAAAUGUUCCAAGUUAUAGUUCUUGUAAGUGAUGAACCCCAUGGUUUGUACCGUGCUUCUGUUUAGUGCAGGACACUGAUGAGUGCACCUACAGGGUACCGGCAAGAAGAAAUUGGAGCAACAGCUUGCAUUGCUUGAGAAUAUGUUUCCAGACAAAGUUAGAGCACAUCUAAAGUUCAAUGUUCCUCUGGCUCAUGGGAUCAUGGCAGCUUGUCAUUCCUUUUGUGGCAGUUCUCGAAUGGAAUUCCGUCUGCUCGAUUAGUUUCCAGUGUGGUUUUAGAGUGGAAAUGUUUCAUAUCAUUUUGCAGCUUUAGUUAGGCAUUCUGUUAUCUCAUUCUAUAUUUAUCUCUUUGAACAAAGGCAUGCGAGAAAAUCUUGACCAUUGUGAAAAUUUUCUGCAGCCUCCCAUGUGUGCCACCACUGGCGGACUCGUUGACACUGUCAAAGAAGGCAUCACUGGUUUACAUAUGCGUCCUUUCAAUGUCGACGUGAGGACAUGCUUCCUAUGUGAAUCAUCAUAUCAAUGCGUCAACAUGAUUCUACAGAGCAUGAAAUUCCUCUUCUUUCAGUGUGAUGUCGUCGAUGAGGAUGACAUACAAAAAGUUGUGAAAAUGACGAAGAGGGUGCUCGAGGUCUAUCAAACAGCUGCUUUCGCAAAGAUGAUUCAGAACUGCAUGGACCAAGAUCUCUCCUGGAAGGUGAACAACAAAAGAUUGAUCCUCUCUCCUCGGGUUCUCUACAUGUUAGCUUUUUCGUGCUAGGAAAAUAUUAACAGCCCUUGAAUAUGCUGCAAACAUCUCACGCUUCUUUAUACUUGUGUGGUCCACUUGUUGCUUGCUUGUCCCAGGGACCAGCUAAGAAGUAGGAGCAAUUGUUUCUGAGCCUGGGAAUUGCUGGUAGUGAACGAGGAAUCAACUCGAGGAGAUGGCUCCUCUUGCCAAGGAAAAUGUGGCUACUCCUUGAAUGUGAUCACCAUUAUCGAAGGACUAACAAGCAUUAGCCAUCGACACAAUAGUGCUGAAAUCAGCAUAAGCUCACACUAAAUCCAAGCCUCUUCAUGUUCAGGUGCUCCUCGUAUGUUGUCUGCUCUGGAGAACAUCUUGGAGAGGUGGUGUUGUAUCUAGUUACUACUGCACUUUACUGGGGAAGCCAUCCAAGAUACUACUGCUUGCAACUGUCUUUGUCCAUAGCUGUGUGAGGCCAUCAAUCUUAAGGUAUUAUAUUUGGACCUCAUCUGACAUAUAUUUGCAAGAUAUGCGAUGAUUAUUCUGACAAUGCUAUGUUUCUUUUGAGCAGAAAGUUUGCUCACGAGCAUCAUGUUGCUCAUCAAGUGGUCCUAUAUAUGCGGGAUGUUGCUCAUUAAGUGGUCCUAUAUAUGCGGGAUCUAAAGAGAGUCAAUACAUAGUUUUAUCUUUAAAUAUCUAAAAUUUUUUUUAUAUAAAAAAUUAUUUUCAUGAUUUGAACUCUGAUUUCUAGAUCGUAAAGAACAACCUAGCAUUUCCAUUGUACUAAGGCCUAUCAUUUAAAAAUGAUCAAAACUAAAUUUUAAUAAUUUUUUAAAAUUUCAUUUAUCUUAACCAGUAAACAUCAGAGUAUUACUAGCAAAAGUCCAAAGACAAAAGCCUCUCCUCAACAUUUACUAUUUGAAAAAAAAAAAUGGCUAAAAUAUCUAAUAAUAUGUUCAAGAUUUUUCAUAUAUAUGUACAAAUGUAAAGGAUGAUAACAAUACAAAUGCUAACAAUAAAAAAGAAAUGAAAAAAUAAUAGAAGAAUGAAAUAGUCCGUGAACAAGAAAGGAAGAAUAGAUUACUUAUCAUAGACCUUCUUAUUUAUAGAUAGACAUGACUUCUUAGAGACUUAACAUAGAUACGUGAUAUGAUAUUUUUGAGAUAUUACAAAUCUUUUCUCAUCUCCCCUUAGUUACGUAAAGUUAUUGAGAUUGCAUAUCUAUUCCCGAUAUCCCUUAGUCCAUAAUUCAUCACUUAUAGCGGUUUUGUGAAUGAUAGAAAGAGAGGAGAAUGCGAGUUUAAUUUUCCUUACAGAUUGAUAUUACUACAAUUUUUGGAUUGGAUGACAAUGCAUCUGCAAAUCAAAUAAAGGAUUUCUGAAUAGUAUCGAAAGGUACACUUCAUAAAUUUGAUCUAUCACUAUUUGAUUUUAGUUUCUAAUAUUAAAGUUUUUUUUGUAUAAUAGAAGCAUAAUCAUGAUUUUUAUACUUAUAAUUGCUAUCGAAGUUAUUUUUUGAAAUCAAAUACUUUAUAUCGUAAAAAUAUUUUAAAUCUAUUUUAUAUAUGAACCUAUUUAUUAGCACCUUUCGUUUAUUAAAAAGUGUUAUUUAUUUUUUAUUUAUGAUACUUAAACAAGCCGUCUUUGUUGUCAAUAUGCUUUUUUUAUCUAGUUUGUCUUAUCACUUACUUACGGGCGAUGCGAGGUUCCGCGUGUUUAAUCAAUGGACCAAUAUCGACAGCUUGUUGUUGGUGACAUUAUUAUUGAGGGCAACGAUAUCGUGUGGUCACCAACCCAAUUGUAGGUAAUGAUUGCAUAUACAGUAAAAGUGUCAUGGGAUGCGAUAGCCUAUGACGAUUGUAUGCACAACUACAUGUGUGCAACAACCUUGCAAUGGUCGACUUGCCUUGGUCGUAGGUGGCUAUGGUAGUUGCAGCAAUGCCACUGUGGUGGCAUUUGCCGAUCGCGACCAGCGUCAAUUGGACGUUGAAGAAUAAUGGUUGCUUGGGCGAAAGCAUGGGCACAACCGUGCACUGUGGUGACCUUAGGGGGUCACUGGGUGGCACAUGUGCAUACUCACGCGUGGGCAUGGCAACGGUGAGGUGUCAAUUAACCAAACGAGAAUAUUCGCGCCACCACGGGUGACGCAUAGGUGGCAACAACUGCGAGAGAAUUAGGGUUUCAUUUUAAAAUUAUAGUUUUACCUUUAUAAAUCUUUUUAAUUUUAAUUAUAUCUUUUUGAUAAUUAUACCUUUUAGAAAUCAAAUAUUUACAUUAUAUAUCUUGUGAAAAAUUAUAAUUUUACCCUUUAGAUAUUAAAGAUUUUAAACUUAUAUUCUCAAUUAUAAAAUUAAUUAAUUAAAUUUAUUUUAGUUAAAAUAUUUUGAUCCGACUUGAACAUAACUGUAUUUUGAGUGCUUGAUUAGAUUUAGAUUUGAUCAAUCAAGUUUUUGAUCGAAUUUAGAAAAAAAUAAAAUUUAAUUAAUUUUUUAUUUUGAUCAAUUUUAAUUUUUGACUAACUUAAUUGGGUUGAUGUUUAAUCCAAUGGACUUACCCAAUGAAAUUUAAUUUUAUUAAAUUUGAACCAUUAAUCUAAAAUAUUUAAAUCCAUAUCGUUACUAUUAUACCCAACAGAUCACAUGUCGAUUGAACUAAACGGAGUUAUUACACACUGCAUAAAAAUAUUAAAUAAAAGGAACAAAGUUUUUGAUAACUUCUUUUAGCCGCAAUAGCAAUCCAGUACAGCAGAAGAGCUGCUAAUUAAAUAGAAAGCUGCUUCAAACUGCCUUUGAAAGCAGAACAAACACGGCUUUCACGCGGUUCAGAGUAAUUUUAGAUUGCUCAUUGCAGAAAUAUUUAUUAAAAAUCGACAAAAAACUAUUUUAAUAUUACAAGAGAGAUUUUUUUAAUUAGAUUAUCAUAAAUCCUAAGAAGCUUAAGUAUACAGUAACACAGUGCGUUGGUGCAUUGCUUCUUUCCUCUCAUUUCGUUUGACAUCACUUUGGGGCCUCCAAUUCGAAAGCUAGUCAGAUGACUUAGUGUGGUACACGAACAUGAGCGUUCCAAAGCAGUGAAAGCAAAUGCGUCAUGCGUGGAACCUAUUUUUAGGCGUUUUGGGUUUGGGAAGGUAAAGGCAGGACCAUUGAUAGAAACAGAUGAGUUCUUACGUUCAAGUUUAACGCCUCUCGAAAGCUAAACUUAGGCCAUGGACGCUCGACCAAAGUCCCAUGACAAAGUGAAGGAGUGGUGUCACGGACGGUCGUCGUUUUCCUCCGCUUGGCUUGUUCGAAUUCAGAUGCCGCUGUUUUCUACGGAUCAAAGGACGUCUAAGGUUUCGUAUUAUCAUCCUCCCUCACUGCCUUUCUCGCUUAUGGGGAGGAUGCCAUGGCCAUUAACCCACUGCUCGACAUGGUAAGCUGACGCCUUGGACAAGGUCGGAGGCUCGGAAUGACGCAGCUUUAAACAUCAGCGGCUCUUCCAUUGCUGCUCUCUAAGAAUGCACGCCAAAUGCAUUCCUAGCAGAAGCAUAAGUAUGGGGGAAAGCGAGAUGGAAGAGGAAAGCGAUGCAAUGAGUGAGAAGCCCAAGACACUAUGAACACAACACACACUAGCAGCGAAAGCAUGAGCAAGCAGCUUCUGUCUCCCACCUUCGUCCACCUCCCUCUCUGUACACAAAGCCCUACUCCUACACCAUCUCCUCAGUCGUCUUCCUCCACUUUCUUAUUUAGGUAGCGCAUGAGGCAGGCUUCAUCUUCUUUCGACUUCCUGCUGGUAACAGUGGUAGGAAGGUUACUGGUGAUCGAGUGCGUUGGGUCCGCUGCAGUAGCUCAAGUAGGGGUGCCAAAUCCACUGCACCAGGAACUUGCUGCCGCCCACCCCGUGCAAGUUGAAGGCGGCGCCGGUAUGAGAGUCGAUCAGCAGCUGGCCGGUGUAGGCUCCGCCACCGCCGGUUCCAUAGAUGCCCUCGCAGAGAUCGGCGAUCUCGGUGGGGAAGCAGGGGUCCUCCCCGGCGUACCACGCGUUGACGAGCGGGUUGGAGGCCAUCUCCGCCAGCUCGUGCGCCACCACGCUGACCAUACCGUCGACGCCGACGUCGCCGUUGGGCGGGCGCUCCGCGGAGCGGAGACCGACAGCGAAGGGCGGCACGGCGAAGGGGUAGGCGCAGAUGCCAGGGCACUGGGUGGCGGAGUUGCCCACCCAGGCGUAGGGGAGGGUGUAGCCGACGAUGGCCGGGAAAGUGAAGUAGUGGAAGCCACAGGCCUGCACGCAGAAGUCCUGGACGGCGACGUCGGACGAGGUGAGGACGAGGUAGAGGCCACCGCGGGGAUUGACAGGGAUGGGGCGGCGGGGGGCGGUCACGGCGUCGCGGAUGACGGACUGGAUGGCGAGGCGGGUGAGGGCGCGGCCGCGGGAGUAGUGGCGGUCGGACCGCUCCGCGCCGAGGAGCACGAUGGCGGAGACAUUGGCGCCGGUCUGGUCGGUGUAGAGGCGGACGGUGCGCCACCAGGCGGCGACGGAAGGGUGAGGGGCGGACGCGGCGGAGAUGGAGCGGAGAAAGGCACGGAGGAUGUGCUUCUGAGCCGGUGCCCAAGCACCGUACCAGAUGGGAUGGAUGGUGACGUUGGCCGUGAGCACGGGGCCCAUGUGGUACCGAAGCUUCACGAACUCCGACGACCCCUCGUACUUCUUCGACACCCCGAGGCCCCCGGUGUCUACACUCCCACCGCUGCCACCGCCAGUGUUCAUGGCGGCGGUGGCAUUGACGGCGCUUCUGCUAACGAAGUGGUGCGGCCAUGGCCGCCACGCCACAACAGCGAGUGGCGAAGCGACCGCCAAAGCCGCGAGCGCGAGGAGCAACAAGCAGGAGCUCGACACGGACAUUGUAGCAGAAGAGAUUAUACCUAAAGAAGGCCACGAGAGAGGAGUGUGUGGAAAGGAAGGAAGUGGGGUUCCUUCUCAGACACUACUCUUCUAUUGCCUGGUUAUAAGGAGGAAGAAGAAGAGAAGUGGUAGAGAAAGGGGGGAAAGCGCGCCAUUGAAUGGCCAUGGUCGUAAAUAAUGGAUGACAGGUUGGAACCUUUAUACCUAGCUGCCAGUGCAGGCCCCACUUGCCUCCCUUACACACAUUUCAAGCCAUUGCUUGUACAAGCACUCAAUCCUCCAUGCCUCAUGGGAAACCCUCACCUUCUCUUUUCUGCUUCCAUUUCAUCUUUAUCUGUUUCUGUACUACGAUGACAAUAAAAAAAAAAACCAUAAUGUUAACCUUAAUCCAUUCGGCUUACUUGACUACAAUGUAAAAAUGUCUUCCAUCAACAAUUAACUAUGCAGAUAUCAACGAAUGGAUAUGGCGUAAUAAUACAUACCUUCCUGGUUUUUUACCGCGGGGCCGUGCGUGUUCAACAAUCAAAUCGUCGAACAGGUGGUGGGCCUCCUCGGCUCUCUCGUGGUGGACCAGCAGAGAGGUAAAUUAUGACCCCCACCGCGUGCCAUCGAUUGCACAGGCGGGAUAUUUCUUCGGGACCGGCCCCCCUCGCAUCAAAUAGUCUGUCUUUCUGAUGGGCGAUCAUCCGCGAGAAGAGUAGCGAUGGAUAUGGAUCCCGCAGCACAUGCCGACUCCCAGUACGAACGCGCGUCGCCGUAGGCCACGUUGCAGUCCUAACGAUGCUUAAGCAGCGGGAAAUUUGGCGAUCGGGUUUGCCCCUUCGGUACUCUCGCUGCCUUUUAGGAGCAGAAGGCGACGAAACAUGGCGGGCCAACUGGUCCGGCGUCUUGGAAGAGGAUGACAUGAGAAAGGAGCAUUGCUAUUUGUAAAUGUCAUCGGAUAACCAAUCACACGAUUUCUUUUGUGCUAGCUUCUUUUGAGUAUUGUCACAAACAGUUGCUUGGCGAAUCAAGGCAUGAGGUAAGUCUGUCAAGAAAAUAAAGAUCCUCAUAAGAUUCAGAGAUUAAGCCAAACGCUAGGAAUUGAAGAGGAAUAAGAUAUCAUUCUGAAAAAAAGAAAAACACUCUAAACAGCCAGUUCACUUACCCGUAGAAAUCAAGAAAAAUCUGAAUGUAAAAUAGGCCAUUUAGAAGAUUGUAUAAUGACAUGCGAUGCUUGGAUUAACAGAUCAAGAUAAACUUAUGGUUCUGCAAUUGUCACUUCGACGUCCAAGCCAGGUUCGAUGCUGAUCCAGGCGAUCUGCUUCACCAGCUCGGAAGAGCUGGCAAGAUCAAUUACUCUGGGGUACACGGAGCUCAAACCGAUUUCAUGUGUUGGUUCAUGCGAUUAAAGAUCACCAUCAAGUUCCAGAAAAGUUGCAGACUAAGAUAACAUGAUGAUAUACUUGGAAACAGAUCAAAUUAUGAGCAUUAGUGGAUUCAACUGUAUCAACAUGAUACUGGCAUGACUCCAAUUACAAAAUAACAUGUCUAAAGCAAACCCAUAAGAUAACAUGCCUUUGCCAAUCCAAGCAAUACCACCAUGCAAAUUAACCAGACCAACAGUAUGAAGUCAGAAAACCGGAAACCUCAUUAAACAUAGAUCCAAAGAGGACAGUAAACUUUAAAACCUGGUCAUUUGAAAGUUUCAUUUUUCUCAAAGAAGGUGAAAGCUCUGCUCCAGUACUCCAGGGAUCCUUCUUAUGAUUGUUAUAAUCUUCAAAGUCAAGUCCAAAUCGGACACUGAUAAGCAAUGAUCAUUGGAAUAUCCUGUUUUAGUAUUUCAAGCUGUCAUAUUAGGCUAAUAGUCACCACAGACAACCAGACAACCGAGCAUCAGUUUUAAAAAGUUGUUUUGUAAGAAUUCAUAGAGAAGAUCUCAGCAUAGACUAAUUCUCUUACUUGUAAACUCAAACUCAUCUGCACAAUCAAAUUAUUUGUUGGUGACCCCAUACAAGAUGCUCAAUUAUGAAAGAAGAAACUGUAAACUUUUUUGUGUAACACACAUUAUCAUAUACAUUAAUGGACUUUUUUUCAACUUCAAAUUUGCAUUUCAAACACUUGAAAGAUAAGUACAACAGUAGUGCACCAGACUCACUUAAAAACUUUAUUUCUAUUUUUCCUCAAGAACUACCCUUAUUAUGAAAAUCCUGAAAGUAAAAAGAAAAGGAUGAUUUCCUUUUAACCCCUUAUUGUUGCCUUUCCCGCAGAGCAUAUUAGAUUUUUCCAAUAGAGAAACCCUAUCUUUGCAGCUGGACAAACAUACCCUCAGCCACUCUUUUGUCUUUUUCCUCAUUUCCCUCUCUUUUUAAUUUCAUUCAAUUGAACCAAUAUUAUAUCAGUUGAAUGUAUCUAGAAAGAGAGAAAAAUGAAGAAAAUGACAAAAGGGCGAUUGAGAUCACCUUUGUCCAAUAUGGAGCCUUCUACAAGAAAAAGGCAACACUAGGAGCUUUUUUUAGGGAAAUCAUCCAAAAGAAAAUCUUAGUGCAAAGAAACAACAAUUUUUAUUUUACACAAAAUUUGAAAAGCUUAAGCUUUGAAAGCUACAUCUUUGGUAUUAGUUAUUUCCCCAAUCAAUGUUUCACCAAAAGCCUCUGGUACAACAAAAUACAAGUAGAAGUUACAAAACCUAAUACAAUAAAUAGGCACUUAAGAGAUAUAAGGCAUUCAAAAGUAUUGCUAAUUUUACCUUUUUUUAACUCUGGAACAUGGUAUAACAUGAAAAAGGUCAAGAUUUGCAAUACUAUUCUUUUUUUUUUUCUUCCCAUACCUGAUACAUUAGCCUACCCAAAGUAUAAUGAACCAAAUUUCUAUAGUCAUACGCAUAAUAAAUUGAACUGCUGAACCAUUUUGAAACCAAGAUAUUCUAUCAAGUUUUGAAAUUGUUAAGAAGUCACACUUGGAUGGUACUGUGCUUUGUUAAAUAUUUUAUUUAUUAGGUCCACAACUUUUCUAGGUUUCUUCAAGGGAAACAGCAAAGCAUCCUUAGUUCUUGGGUACUAGUCAGUAGAUAUAUAUACAUGUGUAUACAUCUAGGUAGGCAUGUGUACAGACACUCUCCUCAUAAAAGGCUGCCAUUUUAAUUAAGCAUUAACUUUAAAAAAGCUCAAUCUCUGAGACAUCAUAGAGCAGAAGUUUGCCAAUUGUGUCUUGAUAUUUAUCUGCUCAGCCAACUGAUGCAGCCUAAGAUCUAAGCUGCACAUCAUUAGCAGUUUGUUUCAAUUUAUCUGCUUUGCAUUAUUUACAAGAAGUGCCAUCUUUGCUUAAUGAAGACUUAUGUGCAGAAAAUUAUAUAAUCAAUAAGCACAGAUACUAACCAAUAAAUCAUAGAAAUGUAUUAUUCAUUUUUCGUUAAUAAUGUAUGUCCAUGUUUUUGUUUUCUAAACUAAUACACUACCAGUUGCAACUGAGAUGGUGAGCAAGUCGUUGAGUCAGCUUUAAGCCAUCAAAACUAAGAUCAGCGUCCAUUGCAAUCAAAGCUAUAAAAAGCGCUGAUGAAGAUUAAUCUAUGAGGCCAUCGAACUGAUGCCAUGGACACAAUACGUCAAUAUCAGGCUGAUGAUCAAGACAAGCAACAUUGCUGGACAUCAUGAAUUUAAGUAAACAUGGGAAAGAUCAAAACAGAGAUGUGGAGUACCUUGGUGGGCAACCUUGACCGUCAGCCGCUUGUCCUUCGCUCACCUCUACAGAUCCGCACAUACUGGACAACCAAUUCGAAAUAAGGAAAUAAGAAGAAGAGAACCAGAUCCAAGUGAUGUGAUAGACAUGAUGCACCGUUCUCGAGAUUCAUGACGUUCUUGGAGCCUGGAGGAGAGGGUGAUCCGGAUGCGGUGGAGCUGCUCUUGGGGCUCUUCCAGGCCCAAUUCAGUCGGUUUCAUCGCUCCGUAUGCCGCCACCAUCUAUUCCGACGGAUCAAAACCUAAGACUAGAAAUCACUUCAGACAGCAGGAGGAAUCGACAGAGAGAUGAUUCUGGGAAAGGACUCAAGCUUCACCUCUCGUUCGCCGCCGCUGCGUGCAUCUGUUUACUCUCCCGCGCUUCGAAUAAAUGCAGCACUGGCUGAACAGAAGAGGAGGGUUGGGGUUUCGAGCCGAACGAUUUAUCAUGCAGUCACAAUUCCAAACAUACCCUCGAGGAGUUUCGAAUAUUGCAUUAAUUAAUCAGCUAAUUCUUGCAAAUAUAUAUUUAAAUAUUUAAUGUGGCAGUUGAAAUUCGAUUUAAAAUCAAAAAGUUUAAACAGAACUAAAUUGUUAUAAUUAAAACUAAAUCAAGUGAUUUGAACUCGGAUACUAAAAUUUGAGUUAUUAUUUUCUUCAAUAAAUUAAAAUUACACCAACCAACACUAUAUCUUUCUUAAAACCAUAUCAAUUUGAUUUUUAUAAAUACUUGUUAUGUUAAAAAUUGGCCUUAGAUAUAUACUUAUUUCGAUUUCACCUUGACAUUGUAUACAUCAGAAAUUAUAAAACAAAUAAAGGUUUUAAAUAUCAUAAUAAUAUAAAAUUUAUCGACAACUUAAUCUUUGAAACCCAGAAACUGAAGGUGUACAGCAAAUCAGCUUCUUUGAGCCCGACCAUAGCGACUAUUAAGAUUUCUAUACACAAUCCAAACACGUUGUUUGACACACAUGUAACCAAAAUUCUAGCCAUUCGUUACGAUAGUUUAAAGCAUCAACUCAUGCCAACAUAUAGCAAACUGACUCUCUGCUCCAUGCUAAAUCCAAGCUUGUGAUCUCCAAACAAGAAACACUGUAGUUCACACACGCUUAAUCUACGCUUGCCUGCUAAAGAACAUAGAAAAUAUCAUAUCUUGAGCACAUUCUGAUGCCACAAGUUCAAUAAAACAGGAUGCUAAACGUCUAACACGUCCAGCUGACACAAAUUUGAUAAUUCAAUAAAAAAAGUUUGUCCUCUCUUGAAAAUUAUAAAGGCCCCGCUCUAACAAAUGAAGUCUUCAAGCUAAUCAAAGAACCAGAUUGCUUACGGUAAGCAUAAUCCUAAGACACCAUAGUGCUGGCAAUGCUGGCAUCACUGUGCAAAUAAAGCGAAGUAGCCAUUAGACUAAUAUCGUGGGUAAAUGGCAAUAACAGAAAGAUAGGAGGAUAAGAACCUUGUAAGCUGCAAAAGUACAAUUUGGAGAAAACAUGUAUUAAACAACCUCUAGUGACCUAUAAGAAUGCCUAAGGGCAUGCAUGAGAGAAAUUUUGAAUACAAAUGAUCAAAAUUGUGUUUAUUGCCCUUUAAUAGAAUGUGUCUAAUCAUUGAGAAAAAGCUUGAAUUGACAUACUAGACAAAACAUUAAAAAAAAAGAUAUCAAAAUUCAUUAGAGUCCAUGUCCCAAGGAGUAUAGCUAUUCUUGUAACCCUGAGAAUAUUAAAAGAUUCCAUGAAGAUAUAUUUAUUUGCUUAUUAUUUCGAAUGAAAAAUCUGUUGUUUUUUAUCAUGUCAUGGAAUUGGCAAGAACUCUUCAUUAGAACACUAUUUGCUACGAAACGCAUAGAACAAGGAUUUUUUUUUAACAAUGAUAUAAACAUGAUAAAGGAGACCCAUAGAUGUAACAGUGAAAAGAUAAGAGCCAAUUAGAAUUAGAAGUGCUAGAAUGAGACGCAGAUUGAGCCAAGCUUCAUUAAAAAUGACAAAAAGAUAUAUUUUGUGACCACUUGUUUUCUAGUGAUGCUGCCCCCAAACAGCUCAAUGGUGAGAAAAGAUCUACAUGACUAGCCACAAUUAGUUGGGAUCUUAUGGUCACUUGUUGUUGUCCAUGCAACAUCAUCUGAACAAAUUUCCUUCAUGCAUGCAAGACACUCGCUUUUUUAAUAAAUGAACAAAUUAUAUAGAAAAAUUUUGUGCCAUCUGCUGCAAAACCUCAGGGAUUUGGGUUCGCCAGUCAGACAGAUACGAUUCAUGAGUUAUAGGACUCAUAAUUAGAAUACUGAAAACACACAUGACACUUAUUAGACUGAUCACAUGUUUAUCCCCCUUGUGCCAUGUUCAAUAACUUCAUAUUCAUUUCUAUCUACUCCAACAGAAACAUCAUGCUCAUAUCGAAACUCAAUUAUAAUUUCGAUUCUACUACCUUCUUGAGCUCUAGCUUAUCACUCUUAAAUUAUAUUCAUAAUAUCAUUUAAAUUACAUUUAUAAGAUACACCAACAUAGUGUUAUCUUCGCUCGAAUUUAGUUCAUGUAUACAGUUGAUUACAUGCUGGUUAUUUUAGUUUAAUGUAUCUUUAAAAGAAUAAUUAUUUAGUGCUUAAAUGUGUUUUAGUAUUUAAAAAUUUUUAGUCCUCAAGAUUUUUCAAACUUUCAACGACUGUUAGUGUUUGCAUUUUAAAAUGUUAUUCUCAUAUUGCAUAAAAUUUUAUUAUUUUUUUAUGUUGCUAACCUUUUAUUAAACAUGAAAGCUAAACAGGCUUCAUUGUGUCAGUGCCUGAUCAGAUUUUGAUAGUUGUGUAUUAAAGAUGCAACUACAAGAUCUGAAGGCAUCAAUAUCAUGAUAAAACUACAAUAAUACAUAAUGGUUUCACCACCUUCUUAAACCUAGGUACAAUUAAAUUUUUUAAAUACAUCAAUUACCCAUUACCUAUUUCCCUGUAAUUCUCUGUUGAAACCAAAAAAUUGACAUCAUAGUAAAUACCAUAAUUUACUAAAAGAACUAUAAUACCUAGCUUCUGAAAUCAAAGCCCAUAAGAUGCUGAUAAAAUUAUGCAUCAAAACUGAUGUACCAUAUGAUCAGAUAUAUAUGGAUUCAGAGAGCUGCUAGUUACACUUUGGUGUACAAACCUAUUGAUCCCUAUAACGUCCUAGAGAAUCUAGAUGUUGAACUAAAAGGGAAUCCAGUAUAUUGACUUCUUUGCCCUCUGAUGCAUAGUGGACACAAUGAAGGAUGGAUGUGGUAGCCUGUUUAUCUCCCAAAUGCAUAUUUUGCACAUUCAAAAAUGCAGAGUAGCAAAUUAUACUGAAAGCGUCAUUUAAAUUUAUUUAUUUUACAUCAUCCCUCUACUUUUCUUGAGAUCCACAAAUGUAUUGUCAGAUGUAUUUACUAACAUAAAUUAUCAAACAAGUCAUCCUGCAUAUGAGAAAGCACUGUAAAUGUGGUGCAUCCACAAAUAUCGGCUACCAAACACCAUAUGAAAUUGUGAUUAGCACGUAGCAACGGCACAAAAGUGGUAGGCUACUCACUAUUUCCAGGUAGAUUCGACCUUCUUGGUCCUCUUGUAGUACCGAGCCAAGCGAUGGAUCCUGCUCUCCACCAGGAUCAACCUGAAUUUGGAGUCCUUGUCUUUCCUGCUCCUCUCCAAGUGCUUCCUGAUGGCUACUGCUUUUUUAAUCAGGUGGUACAGAUCCUCUGGUAACCCCGGUUGAAGCCCUACAUCAACCCCAUGAUCAAAAUCGAUCUCAAAAUCUAACAGAACAACAGAAACAAAUUCAAGACAGCACCAUAUACAUAUUACAAAAGGUAAAAUCUAGCCCUAGAAGAAGAGAAGAAAAUUUUCUGAUGAGAAAGCUACUAAGCUAGUACCAUGAGCCUUGAGGAUCCUAAGGAUCUUGCUCCCGGUGACGCUCUUGACCAGGGCGAUACCGUGCGAGUCACGAAGAAUAACACCAAUCUGCGACGGCGACAGUCCCUUCUUCGCAAACUUGCAGAUGUUUUCCUCAACCUGAGCGACCGCAUCGACAGAGUUCAAAAGAAAGCCCAACAGAAGAAAUAACAAAAGCGGGAACCAGAUUAAGAGGCGACAGCUCACAUCCGCUGCGGAGAUCUUAAGCCAGCUCGGUGGCGUCCUCUUGUACGGCAGCGCCGACGAGGAGAUACCCUUUCUGCAGCCCAACACGCAGAGAACGAUUCCAUUACAAGAGAGAUAGAACGAGAACGGAAAACAGCGGAAAGAUAUGAGUCGGAGAGUUGGAUCACCCGCGGCUGUGCAUGCGACCCAUGGCGACAACAGCGCAGGCGGCGACGGGUGUUUCUUUGGUUGGAGGGAAGAGCGAAAACCCUAGUCCACGGUUCGAAGCGUUAGCAGGGGAUUUUGUUUGCAUACCAUAUAUAUAGGAAUCGGGAAACGGCUAGUUGGCACUCUGGUGGCAUUAGGACCGUCCGAUCGAUCAUCGGCAUUUGGAUUUGCGGGUGAGAUCGGGGGUGUUGUCUAGGGAUGUAAGAUGGAUGAGUGGGUCGGACCGAACCAAAACGAGUCCAAUCUGAUUCUAUCAUAAAUUGGAUCGACCUUAUCGAACUCGGCAAGAUCAAAUUGGACCAUGUCAAAGCAGACCUAUCGAGGGACAUAUGUCUGAGGUCGGGACCCGUGUGCUUUGGAGAAGUGACAACCCAAUCAGACCAGGGAUUAUUUAUUUAAGUUUUUUUUCAUAAUUUAAAUUCAUAAUAUAGUUGGCAAACCAAAUCAUUAAAUUAUGAAUGAUAAAUAAAUGAUGACAUGAGAGGUAUGACACUUGUCAUUCUCGGGCAUUUGGAUUUGCGGGUGAGAUCGGGGGUGUUGUCUAGGGAUGUAAGAUGGAUGAGUGGGUCGGACCGAACCAAAACGAGUCCAAUCUGAUUCUAUCAUAAAUUGGAUCGACCUUAUCGAACUCGGCAAGAUCAAAUUGGACCAUGUCAAAGCAGACCUAUCGAGGGACAUAUGUCUGAGGUCGGGACCCGUGUGCUUUGGAGAAGUGACAACCCAAUCAGACCAGGGAUUAUUUAUUUAAGUUUUUUUUCAUAAUUUAAAUUCAUAAUAUAGUUGGCAAACCAAAUCAUUAAAUUACCCGUGUGCUUUGGAGAAGUGACAACCCAAUCAGGGAUUAUUUAUUUAAGUUUUUUUUCAUAAUUUAAAUUCAUAAUAUAGUUGGCAAACCAAAUCAUUAAAUUAUGAAUGAUAAAUAAAUGAUGACAUGAGAGGUAUGGCACUUGUCAUUCUCGUCCGAUUGUAGAUCAAAUUGGACCAUGUCAAAGCAGACCUAUCGAGGGACAUAUGUCUGAGGUCGGGACCCGUGUGCUUUGGAGAAGUGACAACCCAAUCAGACCAGGGAUUAUUUAUUUAAGUUUUUUUUUCAUAAUUUAAAUUCAUAAUAUAGUUGGCAAACCAAAUCAUUAAAUUAUGAAUGAUAAAUAAAUGAUGACAUGAGAGGUAUGACACUUGUCAGACCAGGGAUUAUUUAUUUAAGUUUUUUUUCAUAAUUUAAAUUCAUAAUAUAGUUGGCAAACCAAAUCAUUAAAUUACCCGUGUGCUUUGGAGAAGUGACAACCCAAUCAGGGAUUAUUUAUUUAAGUUUUUUUUCAUAAUUUAAAUUCAUAAUAUAGUUGGCAAACCAAAUCAUUAAAUUAUGANNNNNNNNNNNNNNNNNNNNNNNNNNNNNNNNNNNNNNNNNNNNNNNNNNNNNNNNNNNNNNNNNNNNNNNNNNNNNNNNNNNNNNNNNNNNNNNNNNNNNNNNNNNNNNNNNNNNNNNNNNNNNNNNNNNNNNNNNNNNNNNNNNNNNNNNNNNNNNNNNNNNNNNNNNNNNNNNNNNNNNNNNNNNNNNNNNNNNNNNNNNNNNNNNNNNNNNNNNNNNNNNNNNNNNNNNNNNNNNNNNNNNNNNNNNNNNNNNNNNNNNNNNNNNNNNNNNNNNNNNNNNNNNNNNNNNNNNNNNNNNNNNNNNNNNNNNNNNNNNNNNNNNNNNNNNNNNNNNNNNNNNNNNNNNNNNNNNNNNNNNNNNNNNNNNNNNNNNNNNNNNNNNNNNNNNNNNNNNNNNNNNNNNNNNNNNNNNNNNNNNNNNNNNNNNNNNNNNNNNNNNNNNNNNNNNNNNNNNNNNNNNNNNNNNNNNNNNNNNNNNNNNNNNNNNNNNNNNNNNNNNNNNNNNNNNNNNNNNNNNNNNNNNNNNNNNNNNNNNNNNNNNNNNNNNNNNNNNNNNNNNNNNNNNNNNNNNNNNNNNNNNNNNNNNNNNNNNNNNNNNNNNNNNNNNNNNNNNNNNNNNNNNNNNNNNNNNNNNNNNNNNNNNNNNNNNNNNNNNNNNNNNNNNNNNNNNNNNNNNNNNNNNNNNNNNNNNNNNNNNNNNNNNNNNNNNNNNNNNNNNNNNNNNNNNNNNNNNNNNNNNNNNNNNNNNNNNNNNNNNNNNNNNNNNNNNNNNNNNNNNNNNNNNNNNNNNNNNNNNNNNNNNNNNNNNNNNNNNNNNNNNNNNNNNNNNNNNNNNNNNNNNNNNNNNNNNNNNNNNNNNNNNNNNNNNNNNNNNNNNNNNNNNNNNNNNNNNNNNNNNNNNNNNNNNNNNNNNNNNNNNNNNNNNNNNNNNNNNNNNNNNNNNNNNNNNNNNNNNNNNNNNNNNNNNNNNNNNNNNNNNNNNNNNNNNNNNNNNNNNNNNNNNNNNNNNNNNNNNNNNNNNNNNNNNNNNNNNNNNNNNNNNNNNNNNNNNNNNNNNNNNNNNNNNNNNNNNNNNNNNNNNNNNNNNNNNNNNNNNNNNNNNNNNNNNNNNNNNNNNNNNNNNNNNNNNNNNNNNNNNNNNNNNNNNNNNNNNNNNNNNNNNNNNNNNNNNNNNNNNNNNNNNNNNNNNNNNNNNNNNNNNNNNNNNNNNNNNNNNNNNNNNNNNNNNNNNNNNNNNNNNNNNNNNNNNNNNNNNNNNNNNNNNNNNNNNNNNNNNNNNNNNNNNNNNNNNNNNNNNNNNNNNNNNNNNNNNNNNNNNNNNNNNNNNNNNNNNNNNNNNNNNNNNNNNNNNNNNNNNNNNNNNNNNNNNNNNNNNNNNNNNNNNNNNNNNNNNNNNNNNNNNNNNNNNNNNNNNNNNNNNNNNNNNNNNNNNNNNNNNNNNNNNNNNNNNNNNNNNNNNNNNNNNNNNNNNNNNNNNNNNNNNNNNNNNNNNNNNNNNNNNNNNNNNNNNNNNNNNNNNNNNNNNNNNNNNNNNNNNNNNNNNNNNNNNNNNNNNNNNNNNNNNNNNNNNNNNNNNNNNNNNNNNNNNNNNNNNNNNNNNNNNNNNNNNNNNNNNNNNNNNNNNNNNNNNNNNNNNNNNNNNNNNNNNNNNNNNNNNNNNNNNNNNNNNNNNNNNNNNNNNNNNNNNNNNNNNNNNNNNNNNNNNNNNNNNNNNNNNNNNNNNNNNNNNNNNNNNNNNNNNNNNNNNNNNNNNNNNNNNNNNNNNNNNNNNNNNNNNNNNNNNNNNNNNNNNNNNNNNNNNNNNNNNNNNNNNNNNNNNNNNNNNNNNNNNNNNNNNNNNNNNNNNNNNNNNNNNNNNNNNNNNNNNNNNNNNNNNNNNNNNNNNNNNNNNNNNNNNNNNNNNNNNNNNNNNNNNNNNNNNNNNNNNNNNNNNNNNNNNNNNNNNNNNNNNNNNNNNNNNNNNNNNNNNNNNNNNNNNNNNNNNNNNNNNNNNNNNNNNNNNNNNNNNNNNNNNNNNNNNNNNNNNNNNNNNNNNNNNNNNNNNNNNNNNNNNNNNNNNNNNNNNNNNUGAAUGAUAAAUAAAUGAUGACAUGAGAGGUAUGACACUUGUCAUUCUCGUCCGAUUAUGAUAGGAUGUUAAGUGGUGGCUCGAUGUCCUUGUCCAAAUGUAAUACACUCAUCAUACCCUUAUAAGCUAAUCAUACACAUUGUCCACUUCCAAUGUGGGACUAAUGAAAUGUUACAUGAAUCACCAAAUAUCAUGGAAUAUCGGAUAUAAAUAUUUGAAAUAAUACAUAUGUAAUAUGAAAUGGUUAAAGGAAUUUUAUACGCUGUCUCCUGUCUGGCUGCAGAGAGGGAAUCAGCAGCCUCGGGUUUGUGGAGGGAAACGAUCCGAAGUCAUCGUCUUAUAUCCAUUCGGCUCCACUCGCAGGUCCGGAGAGGGGUAACGAUGGUCCGCUGCGGCAGCUUCACUAGAGCAUCGACAUCUCCCUCCCUUCUCUCCUCCUUCCCCUCUCUACCAGCACCGGCCGCAGCCCCUCUCCGCCGCCACGUCACCUGGUCCCGUAUCGCCCCCGCCUCCAGUAAUGCCGUCCGCCCUCGUGCUUCUCACCAAUUUCCCACACCUCCUCCGACGAGAUCGGGAAGACCGUGCAGGAGUCGAAUUCUGGGAGAUGGAACGGUAAGGAGUAUAUGUGUGUGCAUAUGGAUAUCCUCUCGGAUUAAGCUUUUGUAUGAUUCUCUCGAUCUGAUGGUAGGGGCUCAGAUAUCUAGACAAUCAUAGCGGCAAAGCAACUCUCCGAUCCAUGGAAACUAGGGAUGAUGAUAACAGUUUUACGGAAACAACGAGUAGGAGCUGCACAACCCAUUCUUGCCAGCAAAGCAAAUCUCCACUCUCUGAUCUUUGGAAAGGAAUUGAGUUGACAUUUCUUGUUGGUCUACUCACCUUUCAAGUGUCUCAGCAGGCAAUUGCUGGUACAGAUUUUUCCGGAGUUCAGCCAACGGCUUAUAUAGGAGAUCUUGGUGAUCUAAGUACAGGAUUUGCAUCAGUAGGAAAUCUUCCUUGUGUCUUUUGAUAUCAACAUUUUCGUACUCAUGUUCUAAAAGUUUGAACUGUUAUUGGUACUUAGUGGCAUCGUAUUAUUAUCUUUAACUUGCGUAUGAAGUUAGAGUAUCGAUACUUGAUAUUGCAUUUUUAUUUACUGAACAACAUCAAUUUUAGGUUUCUAUAUUACUGAAAAACUCUCUAUGUUUGUUGACCUAACAUAACGAUAGAAAAACCGAUGCAUGAAUUCCUUUUCUGAUACUUCUUAUUUUUGCAAAUAUAACCAGAUGAUGAUGGUUAAUGUGAUUGCAAUAUAUUCUAGUAAGAAGCAACCAGAUAAUCCAUUUUCAAGAAUUUAUCAGAAUUUUGAAUAAGUACUCAUAAGUGAUAUAAAUUUCCACUCAAUGACCCUUAUUUCUUUUUGGAUAAUGCAUUCAUGGGAUAAUCAACUUUGUACAAAUGGCUUCAAAACAAGUAAUUGGCUUAUCAUGGUAAAUUCAGUUGAAUGUUCCUAACCAGUUAUCUACCUGUUUGAGGCAUUUCACCGUUCAUACUGUUGUUAGGCUGUUUUGGUUUCUCAUGAAAGUUAAAAGUAGCUAAAUACAGCUCUUCUCUAAUAUUUGAAAAAGUUUGCUACAACCUAAGCUGUUGGUACCCUUUGCAGGAUGGAACCACAAAAUUUUUUGCUAAGAUCCAACAAUACUUUUUUGACUGAUGCAGGCAAGAAGGCUAGCUUUGUGGUGCUUAUCCAUGCAGGCUGAUAUUAUCUAGUGUCCAAGCAUCUUAUGUCUUUCAAGUCCUGUAAUAUAUUGAUAAGCAUAAAGACACAACAAUCAUACCGACUAAUUGCCAGUUUCAUGUAUUGAUUUAUAACUUUCCUGCAUUAACUGAUGGAUAUGUAAAACAACUUUUCUUGAUUUCUUCAUAAUCAGAGUAGUGAAGUUUCACAUAUUCAGUAUUUGAAGUUCUCAAAUUCUUUAAAUGCAUAAUUUUUAAGAUUUUGAAAGUGAGAAACAACACUGGUCCUGUUAUAGUUGGAUCCUAUAAAAAUCUGAAUAUGUCAGAUAUUGCUUCUUUCAUGUUGUUGAUAAUAUGAUCAUGAAAGACAUUGCAACAUAAGUAAACAAUUCGAACAGAUAAUUGCUCUUUGAACUUACCAGUCUAAACACAACCACACAUUCAGGAAGCCCAAGCACAUAUAAACACAAAAGUACACCAUGUAAUUGUUGGUGCAAUGUUAAGAUUGUUCCUUUGCUACCUAGGUAACUGGGUUUGGGUCAUAGAAAUGGUCUCUCUACGUAUGCCAUUCUCAGUUCCCAUAUUGGUUGGAAUCUCAUACACUGGGUUCACCAUUUUACUCUGUUAUCCUGCUCGGGAGAAGAAUUAUCAUAUUGCUUUGUUCUAAAAUUUUCCAUCAUCAAGAACGGGAAAUGUUGGUCCUUUCGUAAAUGCAUUAAAUUGUCAUUCAGUAUAUUGUUUUAGCAUGUUACUGAUGUAUGCAAAACAGAAUAAAGAUGUGAUUUUAUUGUACAAAUUGACACUUCUUUUAUGGUUAUUUUCAUUUUUUUGGUUUUGGCUUCUUUACAUCUAAUGUGCUAUAACACUGUUUAUGCAGGCAUUUUUGCUGAUCUUUUUCUCUGAACUGGGAGACAAAACAUUUUUUAUUGCUGUAAGGUCUCCUUUGCUGAAUGCAUUAGUUGACCUGUUAUUAUCAACAAAAUUAGAUAAUGCUUGGGGUUCAUGGUAGCAACUGUUUGUAUAUGUGUACCUAACUUAACAUCUCUCAACUUUUUGUUCAGUCUCUUAAAAUGAUUUAAUAAGGGAACAUAUAGCUAAUCCAUAAAAGUUACUGAAAACUCUCCAUAUUGGAUCCCCUUAUAAUACUCAUUGAUGUUGCCUUUUUGGCUCUUCAUGGAAAAAUAGUAAAGUAGUGUGCUUGGCAAUAUUAGGUUGCAGCACCAGAAUUCCUCCUAACAAAGUUAUCAAGAAGAAUGUUCCUACUUGCAAAGCAUUGUUAACAAUGAAGAUUCAACUGAUUCUUUAUGGCAUACAAGUCAGAAAGCAUGGACUGAAAACUUGUAUGUUUGUGUUAUUGAGCCAGAACUUAGAUAUUUCUGAAGAUAAUAAGAUAAGAUUAUUAUGAUGACCUUGUUGAAUGAAGAAGUUGCCCACUGCCAGUGUAUAGAAUGGUAUAGCUUGCUACCUGUGAAUGAGGUUUUGGCCUCUUACUAUUUUUUCAUACAUCAUUGGUGCUCAUCAAACCCGAAAGCCAAAUGCUACACAUGAAUUUCAUGCCAUAUGUAUAGAUACACAACUCUUGUCAUGAACACACAAUUGCUUUCUAUAGAUAUCCUAAAAAAAUUAAAUUCCAUAACCAUUAACAAAUCUGCAAUCACAAUCCUGAAGAUCAUGGAUUCUAUUGCAAGAACAACAUCAUUUUUCUUGAGAUAAUCAUGUCAUGUUUACUUAAAAAUUAUAAAAUUUUGUACACCAUGUCAAUCUGCUCCAAAUAUGCAGUAUGUAAAUGUUGGCAUCUUGUCUGUAUAAAAACAACUGAGAAUGAUUUCAAUAAGUUAAUGGAAGAAUUCUUUUACCUAGAGUGUGAGACCACUCCAGAUGUUCUUAGGAUUUCAGCAAGUUGAACUGAUCACUUCUACCACUUUCUUGCACUAUAUUCUCUGAGAGCAAUGAAUUCUUUUUCUUGUUUCAACCUUAGAAUUAUUAGUCUGCUGUUCUACCAUGGAAGAUAAAAUAUACGAAGUUCCUAGCUUGACUAAAUUUGUGAUUUCUGUUAUUUCAGAGAUAUAUUAACUAUUUUAUGCUACAUUUUUGCUUGUUUUUGUAGGCACUUUUGGCAGCUAGAAACUCUGGACUUGUAGUUUUUCUAGGCACAUUUGGAGCACUUGCGUGAGUACACAACUUGCAACAGUUUUCCUUUAAAGUUCUCCUUUUAUCUGUUACCUGUGGAUCUGUUUUCUGUCAUUCUACUUCAAAUUGUCAACAAUCGUAAAAGAAGUAAACUUCCAUAUUCUUACCUGUAAAUUCAUCUCAGAAGAAUUUGAUUGCGUUCAUUUUUGUGUGCUCAUAGAUUUAAAUUUUAGCAAAUAGUACUGUUUCUUGAGUGGCAUGGGGGAUUCAUCAACAGAAGAGAACACCAUUUCAGGUUGAAGAAAAUUAUAGCCUCUGUUUUGCUUUCAUAAAUUUAGUAUAUAAGUAAAAGUGCGCACCAAAGAGUUCGGAUGUUAUAGCUUGUGCUGAAUCAUUAGCUAUGUUUCAGUCAUUGGAUAACCUUGGCAGGUCCUUGACAUGUUGCUAUAUCUGAUGGGCCAGGUUACAGUUUGUGAGAAGAGAUAUUCUCAUGAUAAAAAGUUAAUUUCUGAGAGAAUAUAUUACAUGUGAUUUUUGAUGACUUGAAAAUGAGAACCUAACAACUACUUGUAUUUGUGCCACUUUCCUUGAUUUAUAGUCAUUUUCAUAACAUGAUCCCAUUUAUGGUUCUUUGUUAAUGAGAUCUAAUGAAAGAAUACAUAUGUAGAUGUUAGCUUUUUGACUUGAUUCCAUGAAAGCUUCGUCUCUGCCAGGAUUUAAGUUUGUAAUGGCACAGAAAAUCUGGAAACUCUGUCAGGUUAAGCAACUGCAGUUUGAAAAUUUCUGUUAAGUUGAACUCCUUGAAAUAGCAAUGCGCUAUUAACCCAGAACAGAAACCCAAAAUGGACAUUUAGGCAUCACAAAAUGUGGCAAAUAACAAUUUAACAAGUGGGAUUGUUGCCAUUGAGGCAUUGACAAUUUAGGCAUGUGAUUGAUGGUCUGACAAUUACAAUCAUCUGGGUUUCUUCAUUGGGUUUCUUUGGUGGGUGUAAAUAGAUUCUCUUCAAACUAUUUGUUGCUUUUUGUUCCAAGGGAGAGCUAUUUUCUAGAUCUAGCAUUUCAGAAUAUGUAGCCAGUUGUAAUCAUUUAUAUUUUUUGUAUCUGACAGGGCAAUGUCAGUUGUUUCGGUUGUUCUGGGACGAACAUUUCAUUAUAUUGAUGGCGUUGUUCCAUUUAGGUAUUUCUGGUGUUCUUGCUAUGAAGAAUCGAUGAUCUUUUUGUACACUUGGACACUGUUAAAAAUUCUAUUAGUGCAGGUUUGGUGAGACAGACUUUCCAAUUGAUGAUUUUGCAGCAGUUUGCCUCUUGGUAACUGUCAUCAACUCCUGCUGUCAUAUAAUAAAGAAAACAAUAGUGGACACUAGUAGAGCCAUGACAAUUUUCACCUUUUUGUUAGAUGCCAAAUCUCUAGACCCCUAGAUGUUAUUUGCACAUUUUGUGCAUACAACUCCAUAAUGUCAUGUUUGCUUGACUCAAAUAAUUUCAGGUUUACUUUGGAGUUACUACAUUGCUUGAGGCUGCUUCAGAUGAUGGACAACAAACCACGGAUGAACAAAAGGAGGUGACCUAUUGACCGCACUCAAAUAUUCCCUUGGAAAUUUAAUCUUAAAAAAAGAAACAUGGUUAAGAUAUUAUGAAAUAUCUUAUAUUGAUGAAAGCAAAUAGAUCUAUUUCAACUCCAAAACAUUUGGUAUAUGAUACGCAAGCCUGUUAUCAUAUUUACAAUGAAAUUGACAUGAAUUUUCUGUUUAUAUGAAUGGAUAUUCAGUAGUCUGGACUACUAAAAACUAUCCUACUGCAGUGCCCAUCAUGGUCUUUUUUGAUGUGUUCUUUAGAACACUGAUCUUUUGCCACAUAUGAUUUACUUUUUGUCUCUUGUUUUUGAACUCCAACUGGAUCCUUGAAUUUUAAUGAUGCCCUUAUCCAACAUAUUCAGAGAGAGUUUCCUAGUGGAGUUUCUUUUCAUCUCCUCUUUUUCACAUGAAGGACCAAGUUUCUCUUUUUUUUGAACUCCAACUGAAUCCUUGAGCUGCCCAAAAUAUUUUGUCGAUUGUAUUCAGACAAACUUCUUGGCUUAUAAAUUCCCAUGUUAACAAUUCAUGUGGACUGACACCUGUGUCUGUGAACUGCAUAAUCUCUGGAGUCACCUAUAAAUCCCCCUAUAUUUCACUUUCUGUUAUUCCUUUUCCUUUCUUAAUCAGUUAUUAUAGUUCUUCCUUGUUUUGCCUAUUAAUCUUUUAUUUGGCUUUUCAGAUUUUAUCACAAUUAUUUGUAGGUCUUCCUCUUCUUCUCCAUUCUGCAAAUCAAGUGUCCAUAUGAGUUAUGAGUUAUUGAGUCCUUAGCUUGACUGGCCUUUUCUAGAUGUACUCAAUUUGGUAAAAUGAACUCACAAUGAUAUUGCCAAUGCAAAACUAGGUGUCGUUGUUGGAUGGACAUUGAAACUAACACCGAUCCUAAUUAAAUCAAACCAUUGGCUAAUAUAUAAUUUAAAAUCUUACUGAAAAUUAUAAAGAAAAGGAAAAGGGCGCUUGUUUAAUUUCACUUGAGAACAUUAAAUUGAUUCAAGCUAGACUCACAUCUUACCUAAUCUACUUCAUCUUGAGUAAAUCCAAAUCCACGGGUCAAAUCUAGCACUUUUGUGAUGCUAGUCAUUUUUCUAUGCAUGUUACAAAGAGGAAGUUAUUUUUUAUGUCGAGCAGUAUGUGCAUGUUUUAUAUCUUUGAAUGAUCCUUUUAUUCCUUGUUAUACAUUUAGCCAAUAGUAAAUUAGUGCUCUCCUUUUUGUGGUUAAUGAAAUUAUGAAACAAUGUCUUUCAAAUUUCAUAUCAGGCAGAGUUAGCAGUUUCAGAAUUUUCAGGAGAUGGUGCAGGAAUUAUGGCUGCAGCCAGUACUGUUCUCAGCACAUUCGUCUUGGUCUUCGUUGCUGAAUGGGGUGACAAAUCCUUUUUCUCCACAAUAGGUGAAUAGUGAUAUCUAUCUAUUACUUGGUUUUUACUAAUGUCUGGUGAUGUUAAAAAUGACAGCUGAAUUGUCUCUUAUACAGCACUUGCUGCAGCUUCUUCACCUCUAGGUGUCAUUGCAGGGGCAACUGCUGGUCAUGCUCUUGCAACUUUGGUAAAUAACUGAGACAGGAUGUAAUUAUUUUUACAAUUUUCUCAAAUAUAUGUUAAAAAUAUUAUUCUUUAUAUAUGAUAAGGAUACACUGGUUCACUUUUAUGUGCAACCACAAAAUAAAUGUUGGAAAUUUAUACUUGUUUGCUACUAAAUUUAACCAAACUUACAUAUUGAUUAUAUCAAUCUCUAUUCAACUCAUCAGUUGUCUUUUCUAUUAAUCUGUAUCUUAUUAUCCAUUUUUAUUUAUCUUAUAUUCUUUUUUUUCUCAUCACUUCAUUUUACUUCUUGGUGCAAAUAACUGUACUCUUCCUUUAUAAAUAGUUACCUCACUCUAGUUUAUUCUACCACAUCAUUCAUGCAUAAAUCAUUCACCCAAGCUGGUAAAUUUUGUAAUGAACGCAAGAUGUUGCCAUGUCAGCAUGCCCUUAAUUAAAAAAAGGUUAUAAUAUCAGGUGGAGUGAUUUGCAAAUACUGAAAGAAUAGGUUUCAAUUUGCAUUUAGCUCAAAGGGGGAUGACAUAUAUCUGAAAGAUCCUUUCAUGUGUGGCAAAUGGAUCUUUUAUUCAUUAUCUAGGUUUAGUUCAUUUUAAAUAAGUAGCUUUGAAGUUUCUUCCCCUUUUCAUGAAACAUGACAAAUGGAUACUUUCAUGCUUGCAGCUUGCAGUUCUCGGUGGUUCUUUGCUAGGAACAUUUGUCUCUGAGAAGGUAGUUACUUAAGCAAUGUCUUUAUAAAAUGUGGUCCUGUGAAUGUUGUAAUUUCUGCAAAUGUGACCUGGUGAUAUAUGAAGUAAAUUUGAUUCCUUGUAUUUUUAUUUUUGGCUCAGUUGAGCCACGCUUAUAAUUACAAAGGAAACAUGUUCUUUUUCUCUUUAUCUUAGAUUACCUCAAAAAUGAUCUAAUAAGUCUUGUAUAUGAGCAGAUAGAGCAUCAAAAAAUUUAAGCCAAUUUUGAAAUAAUACAAAAAAUAAUAAGAUUUAACUCCAAGCAUAUUACUUCCUAGAAGCGGAAAUAUAAAGCUGUUAAUGUGACUGCACUGACAGAUUUCAUGAGUUUGUUAAGCUUUCUUUAUAUCUAUGCUUUUAAUUUUUUGUUUAAGUUUGACCUGUACAUAAUCUAAGACAAUACUUUCAAUUUCAGGUUAUUUCUUAUGUUGGAGGAGUUCUUUUUCUAGUCUUUGCUGCUGUAACCUUGAUUGAGAUUGUAAAUUAGCUAAAGUCAACUGGCAAGACAGGUUUACUGCAGAUAGAUCUUAAGGUGAACUGAUAUUAUCUUGUUUACGUAACUGAACUGAUGUGACACUUUACUGUUGCUCAUUUAAGAUGAGCACUUCACAAGAUUCUAGUUUCGUGUUUUAAUAUAUAUAUAUAUAUAUAUAUGUAUGUAUAUAUAUAUAUGUAUGUAUAUAUAUAUAUAAAUAUAUAUAUGUAUAUACAUAUAUAUCUGUAUAUACAUAUAUAUAUAUAUAUAUAUGUAUAUAUAUGUCACUGCAUACUCCUCAUAUCAUAUUGAGCUUUAACUUUACCGCAUUAACUUUCAUUAUACUCAACCAAUGUUUUAUUUUGUUUUCUUUUCUUUUUUGAAAUUAAAUUUUGACUUUUACUAAUAAUUAUCGAUACCUGCAUGUUCUUUUGACUAGGUCAAGCAGAUCUUCAUGAAUUGCUGUGGCCCUCAUCAAACACAGAUGCUAAAAUACUGAAAUCAUUAGAGAAACUUGUGGUACCUUUUUCAUCAGCUUCAUGAUUGAAUGCUAGCCCAGAGUCAUCUCAAAUUCUACUGGAGAGGUGUGCCUGGAUAAUUAGAUAAUGAACUGAAUGAAGAGGAUUUGGAGCAAAAUGAAAAUAAUGCUAUUUGCUGCCAAUCAAAAGUUCCAGUGGCCAUUUGGACAUCAGGUUUUAGGUAUUCUUUUUGUACAGAACACGAUAUUACCUUCGUGGAAGGAUGAUAACAGUCCUCAAAAAGUGAAUUGUUUUAAUAAAAUUAUUGAGAUGCCUCCUAGCAUGAGUUUCUUUUUAUUGAAAUCUUGAUUUAAACUUUGCUUUCUUCCUUAUCUUGAUGUUUGCAAGCAUAAAAUUUCUCUUAAAUCUACCAUGGUAUACUUGAUCCUGGCCAGUAUUAAUAUGUGUUUAAUCAUAUUCUUAGUGACCACUUAAUUAUAGUUAUUCCAUUCAAGCAGCUCCAAAAACUUAUCUGAUUGCAUUCCAAACCUUCAAAUAAGACGGUGGAUGUUAAAUGUAGUCCAAUAUUGCCCACUCUGGUGCUAAAUUUUCAUAUGUUCAUCCCAUCGGAGACUUGUGCAUGCAGCUCUCACUCCAUUCUGAUUUAGUUAGCUUACAAAUAAUUUCUUACCUGAAUCUUAACACCUAAUAGUCACAUUUUCGGAUGAGCAUCACUUUACAGAGAUUGGAAAGGGAAAGAAAAAAGUUUCGGUAAGGACAGAUAGAACUCUCCCUGAUGAGUAUCAUCACUACAGACUGCAGAUGGUAGAGAUUACUGGUUAGUUUCCUUGAUCACUUAAAAAUGACAAACACUGAAGGGGACAAUAUUUGAAGUCCAGAAACAAAUCCUGUUAUUGUAGUUUCAUGCUCAAAGACCACAGGUAAUGAUACAAGUACUAGCGACUGACUCUUAAAAGUAAAUAGAAAAGUUGUUUAACUAUGGCCACAUUAUUAUUUAUUUACAUUAUGACAACCACCAAAUUUAUGAAACCCAAACAUUGAUGAUGAAAACAGAGACACGCUUGUAUGACUAGCAGAGAGUCGUGACACUCAGAGAAUGAAACACUGGAAAGAGAUCAGUUUCCGACCAGAUUGCUCGAUGCUUCCAUCACUCCAUUACGUAUCUGAUCAGUUACAUCUCUCACAUGGCCGGGCCCAUGAGGAAUGAACACGGUCGUGUUCUUUGAUGAGUUUCCAAGCUCUUUGAUGGUGUCAAAGUACUGUGUGACCAUUAUUAGAUCCAUCACCUCUUUAGCAGAAGUGCCAGACACUGUGUUAGAGAAGUUCAAGAUGUUAUCCCUUAGUCCCUCGGUUAUAGCCUGGCGCUGCUUUGCUAUCCCAACACCCGAAAGAUAUUUGGCUUCAGCCUCUGCUUCGGCUUUCUUCACCAUCAGGACCUUUUCAGCUUCUCCUUUGUAGACACUAGCAAGCUGAAGCCUCUGGGCUGCAAUUAAGAAAGAACAAUUGAGAGAAUGCUGGAAUAGGAAGGAGAAAAAUCAUGGACUUAAAACAACUAUUAAUAUCUACAAGAGCAUGGUAGCUAGCAAACAUGUCAUCCAUAUGUUCUUAAGGUUUUGGA
rnacentral:lncRNA from 1 species